rnacentral:lncRNA from 1 species
GUCCUGGUACCUAAAUCAGUCACACUAAUCAACUUAUGCAGCAUGGGUUAGCACGAAUCUAUGAGCAAUCAAAUUGAAAGCUGAUUAACCAUAUUGGCCAAAUAAGUGAGAUCAGUGAGAGAGAUAUGCCAUUAACUUACCAUAGACUCAAUCUAUGUGAGUAGCUCCCAAUUAAUGACCACCGAUCAAAAUUGCCAAACUUAUCUUAAACACCAAUUGAUUCAUUAGUUUCAAUUUGGUUUAUCUAAAGACUCGAGGUCGACCACUGAGCCACGAUCGAGGUCCAUCUUGGUCCAAUCAAAGACAUGGACUUGACCAACUUUAACUAUUGUAUUGGUUCUAAAGAAAUCCUGAUUUAAUCUAGUUCAACUUUGAUUAGAUUUAAUCAAUUUCUUUAUUAAGUUCAUUGAUUCUAACUUUAGGUCUAACCCAAUUAAGAGGAUCUGAUCAAGCUAACCCAUGGAUCCAUGUUUUAUGUGAAUGUCAUUAGAUCUUUAAUUCACAAUUCUAAAUCUAAUUGAUUCAACUUAAUUCUCAAUUAAGUGUAAGAUUUAUAUGAAUUUAUUGUUUAAGUUUGAAAUAAUUUUAAUUUUUAAUUUUAUAAAUAAUUUACAACUGAUUUAUGCAAAAAUUUUCUGUUCUGAAACUGGAUCGGCCAUCCCUGGACUGAGCUGGGUAACAUCAGUGGAUCGAUCAAGUCUGCUAUUGGGUCGGCUAACUGAUGAUGAACAGUAACUAUUACUGUUCGUCCUGCGACAACUGGGUCGGUUCAGUUAGCACUGAGUCGACUAAACUAGGAGACUGGGUUGGCUCAAUUCAAAACUGAGUCGGCCCAGUAGCAUGCCAAUAGAUUUUUUAGAGUUUCAACACUUAAAAAUCCUACAUAAGUUGAAAUAAAAUCAAUCAUAAAUGAUUUUUUAGAUCAUAUCUAAAUAUUUUAUAAUUUCAAAUUUUAUUUCUCAUGAUUACAAUAAUUUUAAUCAUAUAGAUUAGAUGAUUUUACUUUUCUUAAAAAAUUAUAUCACGUACAACAAAUCUUAGAGUUUCAAAAAUUUAGGGUUUUACAGAAAAAUAAGUUUUCUUCCUUUGCAUUUCAUCUUCAUGAAUAAACAUCACCCCUACAUGCCAUAAGAGAUCUCAGGAAUGAGAGGAGAAGGUCAUAAAACCCUACUUUCUUCUAUGAUCAGAUGGCCAAGAAAGUUCAAUUCAAUUAUUAUGCUACUAGGUAUCUAAUUUAGUCAUAUCACAUAUGAUAAAAUUUAGAUCUAAUCUAAAUCAUACAAGAUCUAAUCAAAAUCAGAUCAUGAGCAUAAAUAUUAUUUAGAUCUAAUUUAAAUAAUAAAAAAUUAGAUCUAGUAUGCAUAUAUAAUCAUGUUAUACCGAACCUGGCUUUGAUAUCACUAAAGAAAAACUGGCAAGCGCAUAGCAUGUAUUAAAACUUUUAUGCAGUAAAAAAUAUGUGAUUAAAUAAUUUAAUCUACAAUACAUGCUUAAGAUCUGAUCUUAAUGCCUAUCCUAGGAUCUAUAACAUAUCAUAUAUGCAUACAAAGAUCGAAAAAAGAAAAUCAGCAUGCAAGAUCAUUGUUGGAUUUUCAUGUCGAGAUAUGCAUAUAUGUUUCAAAAAAAAAAUUUCAAACAAUACAAUGGGAUAGAAGAUUAAAAUAUCUUUUAAUCUAAAUAAUAUAUGUAUAAAAUAAAGAACACAUAGAUCUACAUCAUAUACUGAAAUUGAAUACAUGCUGAAUUUUAUGCUGAAAUUAAAUAUAUGAUCGAAUCACAUAUCUGUUUUAUAAUUCAUUUCUUCAAAUCUGGAUCUAAAAAAAGUAGGUUCUUUCUAAGCCGCGUAAGUAUCCGAUCUCUACAGGUAUCCACUCAGGAUCAGCCUAGAAUAGCCCUCUUUGAUGUUGAUCUUUCUUCUUCAAGAACAAUCAUCCUGCAAAUCUAAACGAAGUCUGGAUUGCGAGCAACUCUUUGAUCCUUUUUUUGAUCCUCUUCUUCUCUUCUUUUCUUGAUUAUAAAGUAACCAAGAUCUAAAAAUCAGUAAGAAAGAGGAGACACCCAAGCUUCUCUUAGACAUGAAAAUGGAGGACGCCCAACCUUUGGACAUUGGAACUAGAAGGGAGAAGAGAUGGAGAGGCAGGGGAACUCUUAGGAGGCAUGGAGGUUGCUGAAAUUCUGAUAUUAAGAGCCCUAGAGAAGACCCCUUUAAAUAGACAAAAAAUUUGAAUCCUAUUCAAAACUAAAUAGUCCCUUAAUACAAGUCCUACUUACAUUAGAAAUCCUUAUUGCCUUAGAUAUUUGACCUCCUUUAGGAGAUCCAUUAGGUACCAACUAUUGGAGCCUUUGUAUCCACUUUUUCACAUGCCACAUGGGGCCUAAGGGAUGCCCCAUACUAAUCCCAUACGUCCUCUUUUAGGUGGGCACACCCAACUUGAUCAAAUCAAGUAGCGCCCCAUGUAAAUAAUUAAGAAAAUUGAUUAAGGGUUUGAUCCCUUAAUUCAUAUGAUCCAAAAUUCUAGACACCCAACAGUUAGAGCCCAAUAAAUUUAAUUCAUUUAGAUUAUUAACAGAUAAUUAACUUAAAUUAAUCUUCUCAAAUAAAAAAUUUAAAUAUAAAGAAAAAAUUGGAUUCAAUCAUGUGCUAGCAAGAUUACUCUGAAUCCAAUAGGAUUUUUCUAAACUUAAUUAAAAUUUCAUAAGCUCAAUUACUUAUUCUAAAUCUAAUUUCUUUGUUGUGUAACCUCAUAGGUUCAAUUCUAUCUGGUAGUGAGAUAUACUAUGAUCUCUAUCAUAGUAUCAUUAAAAUUCUAUUCAAUAGGUUGGAAUGAUUCUACUCUAACUCAUUAAAGAUUAUCGAUCCUGAGUAACCCUAGUGAGCUCUCACAAUCCACCAGUGAUACUUAGCAGUAUAUAGUGGUAAUCUAAUAGAAUCGAAAAAGAACCUCAAAGUGUAGUUCACAUAUGAUUCAGCCUUUCUACCAUGAGUUCUGAUUAGAUAGUAGGUUAUGAUAAAUCGUCAAACUCCAUCAUCAGUCAUAUGAUUGAUUCAAUCAGCUCAAGUUUAAUUAUGAUUCUCAUAAAAAAAAAUUUUCAUCAAUCACACUGUUGUGACCACAAACUAUCAGACUUAGUCUCUCAAAUCUCAUAGGAUUACUCCUCUCUAUCAAGGUCGAUAGAUUCCAUCUAGAUGCGCAUCCUACUCCCAUAGUAGACCAACUGUCACCAACAUCCACUACAAGGUCUCAAUGAAGUUAUGUUUAUGUAUUAAUCAAAUUUCAGUAGCCUCACUGUGUGUAGCCAUACCAUCGUAGAUCAAAAGAUCAUUCACACAACUACAGCAUCAAGACGAUCACUGACGAUUGAUUAAAAAUCCAAGUGAUCUCUCAUAUANNNNNNNNNNNNNNNNNNNNAUUGUACAUACAAAGAUUCAUCCAUCUCGAAAGAAGCGAUCUAUGCAUUGAUCUAUCCAGAUCGAUUAUCAUCUUCACGAUGAUACUAUGAUCGGGAGUAUUUAAGAAUUUUAUACAUGUCUCUAAUUUUCAAUACUUUAAAAAUAUGUAUUGAAGUAUUAAUUCUAUGAACGAUUCAAGGACAUAUCACUCUUGAAUGAAAUAAAAUUUAUCUUUUUAUUGAUCAAAUCAAUGUACUAAAUAUAAAAUUAUAUCCUACAUUUAUUAUAAUGUAUCAGUCGUAUUGGCUUCUUGAACAUACAUCUAACAAUCACAUCUAAACAUACACUUGUAGAUCACAUCUACAUAUAGAUUAAAUUUAGAACUUGAUACCUGAGCACCGAUAGAAGGUCCCUGCAUUUGAAUCACAAGGACUCAAAGGAUGCUCACAGUCGCACAGGAUGUUCAGCCUCUAUGGUUGGUCUACCAAAGUCCUGCGCUGAUCGAUCUCCUUGAAAAUGCUAGUUCACAAGAAGACUUACUGGAUAGCUAAUCUACUCCUCUCUUGGGAUCUCCCAGACUCCUCCAGAUCUGAAGAUGAAGAAGGAGGAUGUGGUGGACAAGAUAGAAGAGAACUUUCUUUUUUCUUUUAUUUUUUCCUCACCAAAAAUUCUAGAUCAGAUCUAGGUUUUUGCUCACCCAAGAGGAGGAAGAACUCCUCUAUGCUCACAUGCCAAAGAUGGCCGCCCAACACCAAGACCUCAUGCCCAAAAUCCUAAUCUCAUGCAAGAGAAUUCUCAUAAAGAUCUGAUCUUUUGUCACACAAAAAUCAAGGACUUUCAUAGAUGGUAUGGAUGGAGAGAUAGAGUCCAAGUUCAAAUCAAAUUCGAACCAAGAUAAGGAUCAAGUUCCAAGCUUAAUUCAAAUCUAAUUUAAAUUCAAUUUGAACCAAAUCUUAUCUCAUCCUUAGGGCUCUCAGAGUGGGCGACAUAAAACCUUUUAGCAUGGAGAUUCUCACACAAAUUUGAAUUUGCAUUGGGAAGAGGGUGCACGCACAAUGGUGGUUGGUGGCUAGGAGAGUCCAAGCUAGUUUGGACUCUUAGGGUUUAUCCAAUAAGUCUCCAACCUAAUCAAAUUAGGUUAGAGCCAAUUGAAUAACUUGAAUUCAAUCUAAUUAAGUUCUAAACUUGAUUAAAUCAGAAUUUAAUCAGUCUCAAUUUUUUAUCAAAUCAAAAAUUAAUCAUCCUUAGCAAUUAGGUUAAUCUGAUCGAAUCCAAUUCAAUCAGACUUGAAUCAAAUUACAUUACUUAAUCAAAUUAAGCUAAUCAGUAAUCCAAAUGCUUAUCAAUCCUCCUUUAAUUCACUAACCAUUAGUGAAUUAAUUCAUUAUAACUUUUGCAUCAAGUUAAUCAUCAAUCGAAUUGAUGAUUAAAUCCUAAAAUGCUUCUCAAUCAUUGAUCAGCUACUUGAUCAGAUAGAAAUUUCUUUCGAGUGUGACCCCAUAGGUUUGAACCUAAACCAAUAGCAUAAGAAUAAUUUUUUGAAAUAAUCGAUAUAACCAUCUAGCAAUAAGACCCGACAUUUGGAUAGAUUGAAUGAUUGCAAAGCAACAUUCAAGAACCUACAGACAUAUAGUUACCAUAUAAUUCAUCCCUUUAAUCCUAAUGCUCAAGAUGAUCUAGGGUUUAACUAUCCAUCCUGAAAUAGUCUAUCACAUUGUAUCUCAACUUUUCAAAUCCAUCACAUAGAUUAUUCUGAUCAAGAUUUUACUAAAUUGAAAUACAGUGAUGCAUUAACUCUUGAAUUCAGAGGGAUCAAUCCCAUCUUGACUCACACACUGACUUAACAAGUACUUGACUGCAUCCAAAAAUCUUUCAUCACUGAAUUAGAAAUUCAAAUAAUCUAACAUCAAAGUACAGUGAAUUGUUUGUAAGUCAUCAUGGUGAUCUCAGAUCGGAAAGAUACUUAUAUCCAUACCCUUUGCGAGCUACUCUUGACUGUAGAGCACUCCGCAAUUGGUCACGUUCAAUGCAAGUGUACUCCUACACUACAUCUGCAUACCAUAUUAGUGUCUCUACACUCUUAGUUAAGAGGACAACCAACCCAUAUGGCACACAAUGACCUACACUUGAUAUCACUAUUGUCUUAUUAAUAGCGUAUUGUUUGGAUGCGAAUAUGUUUAAGGACUAAAUGAUAAAUCCUCCUUUAUCAAUUUAAAAUAGUCCUAAGGACUUCAUCACAAUACAUGAGUUUAUAUAGAAGAUGUGCAAAAAUUUGUGAUGAAUAACGUUAAAUAACAUUUAUUAUUGAAAAAUUCAUAUACAAUUAUAAAAUGAGCACAACCAUCAACAGGCUAACGAUUGACUUUGGAACAUAAUUUUCAACACAAUCACUCUUUGUUCGAUGAGCACAUCCUUCACCCUCACUUAUCAUAGGGAGAAAUUACUCUUUCUAUCAUAUCAGUUGAUCUCUAUCUUGAUUGAGUCUAUCUUCUCUAUCUUUUUCAACCUCGAUCAAUACUGCUGCAAUUUGGACAAUCACAUACUUUGAUACUACUUUUUGGGAUGGAUCUCUCAUGAGUGCAGAAUACGGAUCCCCCACUCAAAAUUGCUAACACUGGUAACGAUAUCGAUACCACAACAAGAAGGAAGAGGAGAUAUAAAAAAGACACAAUGAAAUAUAUGGAUCAGCCCAAUACUUAUCUUCACGGGGCAUGCAAGUUUCAUUAUGAAAGAAAAUAAAUACAAGAGGUGAUCAAAUACUCUCAACCCUAUACAUCAACCUCUCUCUCUACAAGAAGCACAAAACCCUUAGAAUGCUCUCAAAAAUCCCAAAGAAGACCCUUUGCCACUCUUCAAGAUCCUCAGGCUCGCUUACUGCUCCACAGAUCGUCAAGCCUCUUUAAUAGGGCCUAAAUCGAGUCCUAGCCGCAUCCAUACUUCUGUUGGGACUCAAAAUCUUUUCUCGACCGUUCGAUCGCUCCCGCACGCACCAUGGCCGCUUGAUCGCUCAAGAUCGCAUGUCUGCAUGUGUCACCGUGCAGUGCAUGCACUCGCAUGAUGGAUCGUGAUAAAGACCGAGUGAAGUGCCUCCUGGACUGCGUGUGGAUCGCACGGUGCGUUCGCUGUGCGCCCGCAUGGUGGACUGCAUGUGCAUCGUGCCCCUCACAUGCGAGCACACCCUGGAUCUUGCAGUGUACUGCGCAGUGGUCCAUGCAUCCUAGGCUGCGCGCGCUAGGCCUGCACGCUGCGAGCCAUGCACCUGCAGGCUUCUCCUCUUGGGCCUUGCGUGCUGGGCUUAUCUGCUGUGGACUUCUCCAUCUUGGGCUACUGUGAGUCGAAUUCGAGGCACCAAAAUCGAACAGAUGGUUUGUGGGAGGCUUGGAGGAGAAGGAUAAGGAGGAGAAGUGGAUGGGAAGGAAAAAGAGGAGGAGAAGAAUGGAUGGAGAAAAAGAAGGAGGAGAAAGUGAAGGAGGAGAAUGGGUGGGAAAAUGAGAGGAGAAAGGAGGAGGGAGAAAAAGGAGGAAGGGAAGGAGGAGAAAUGGAUCAGAAGGAAGGGGAGGAGGAGAAAGGAGAGGAGGAAGGAAGAGGAAGAAAGAUGGACGCCGGCUAUGGAGGAGGAAGAGAUCAAUCGGAGAGAAGGGAGGAGAGAGGAGAUGGGUAUUUUUAUCAUUUUAAAAAAAAUUAUUAAUGAAGAUAGAUAAUUGGACCACAUCAGAAUAUAUUGAUAACUAGAAGGGUUAGUUUGACACUUUUUAAAGUAUAGGAGAUGUGAGUGAAAUUGAACUAAAAUUGAAAGAAUGUUUCUAUAAUUUUUUUAUUUUUGUCCUAAUCCUGCCACCACCUGACACCACCAACCCCCCCACCCCACGCGCAAAAGCCACCCAACAUCAAAUAUGCUAUAACUCCUAUACGAAAAAAAAAUAUACAUACCUGUUGGGGUAAGUCAAUCGACCCCUGACUCAAGUCAACCAACCCCCGACUCUGACUCAACAAAAGCCGAUCGAUUGCAUAUACAACUUUGACUAUGCAUCGACUGACUGGACAAAUCACACCGACUAAUGGUCGGCAAAUCGACUGACAUUCGACUGCUAUCGGUCAACAGCAGACAACUUGAAUAACCUCCGACUCAAGACCGUCAGCACAUCAGAACUACUAGUCGAUGGUUUGCUUGAACCUUCUACCGACAUAUCAAUAUCACCGACAUAUAGUCGGCCAAUCUGCUCAACAUACUAUAAUCGUUAUGAGCGGUUAUCGACUAUGUGUCAUGGUAAUUAGUGAGAGUUAACGAUCCACUAACUCUAUAAUUAUGAUCCGCUAAUUUAGCACCAUAAAAAGCAGAACCACAUGCUCGAUGGUUACAUCAGAAUCACCUAUAAAAAGGAGAGUAAGUGAACAGUACCAGUAAGACACUUUUGAGCCAGACCUCUGCUACUCUCAAUAUUCAAAUCUACUGUUCACCAAUUCUUAUUCUGACUUAAGCAUCGGAGGAUUUUUGUCGGAUACAACUUCGGUCUGUGAGAAUGCUAUUUUGCAGGUGCUCAUCACCAAUGACAGGCGAUAGAGAGUUGGCUAUAACAGAUUGGCAUGCUAGGUAGGGAGAAAAUCUAUAAUCAAUCAUGCUGAAAAUUAGAGUCCAACAUUCAACUGGCUCGACGAGGCACUCUUCCUAUCGGAAAGAUGUUCCUCCUCUACUUUUGGUAGCAGAGUCCAGUUCCUCGCAUCCCGUGGUCACCAUGGACACCCAGAUCGCUGCACUUGUGCAGCAGAUGAAUGUUUCGACGGAGGUGGUCAAAACUCUCCAACAACAGCAAACCCAGCAGCAGCCAUUGAUAAAUCAACCAGUGACGCAAUCGGUGCCAUCCAGGCACAGCCACCAUCCUCCACGACGAUCACCUUCCUCCUCCUCGGAGCGACUGUCUCGACAUUCCCAUCAAGAUGAACAACCACGCUCUGGCACUUUUGUCGUGCCACCCACCAUUCACGACGUUCUCCCUCUUCUUCUCGUGCACACAGUAUUAGGAAGGAGAAACAGCCACGGACACCUUCUGUCUCUCCUUUGAACUCAUCGAGGGGUUCCACCCCUGGAGUUUCUCAACAGCGACGGCUGGAUGACUAUGAAUGCAAAUUUUAAAAAAUUGAUCGUCAGCUCGCCCGACUUCAGGUAGGAGGUCGGAAGUCUUCUAAUGACUAUGACUUUCACACUACCCAGCCUCUCUCUCGAUGCAUCCUUGAUGAACUAAUUCUUUCUCGACUCAAGAUGCCGCAAGUGGAGUCAUACGACGGCUUCACCGACCCCAUUGAUCACUUGGAGAGCUAUAAAGCUCUCAUGAUGAUCCAAGGGGCAACCGAUGCCCUCUUAUGCAUUGACUUUUUGAUAACUCUUCGGAAGGCUACUCAAGCCUGGUACUUCGGACUUCAGUCAGAAAGCAUAGACUCCUUCGAGCAGCUCGAGCAUUCUUUCGUGGUCCACUUCAGUACUAGCCGAAGGCUGUCAUGAACAUCUGACAGUCUUUUCUCGAUCAAGCAGGGUGAGACAGAGACACUGAGAGACUUCGUGGUCCGCUUCAACAUAGCCACACUUGAAGUCAGAGAUCUCAACGAAGACAUGGCUAUAUCAGCCAUGAAAAGGGAUCUGAGGGGAUCCAGAUUUACUUACUCUCUUAACAAAACUCUCCCUCGGACCUAUACUGAACUUCUAAGGCAUGCAUACAAAUAUAUUCGUAUGGAUGAAGUUGCUUCUGACCAACGUCAAACAAGUAAAAAAGGUCAGAAGAAGAAACAAAAGAAAAAUGAAACUCCAACCGAAUCAAGUUGGCUAUCUCUUAAUAAGCGAGCUUCACCUCGACGACAAAGUCCAAAGUCGAGUUAUGGCAGGUAUGACUCCUAUACUCCUCUCUCUUCUCCUCGUGCACAGAUUCUCAUGGAGAUCGAAGAAGCAGAAUACCUACGACACCCUCCAUCGAUGAAGGCGCUCUCGAAGAACCAUGAUCGGAGAAAGUAUUAUCGGUUCCAUCAUGAUCACAGUCAUGCUACCGAACAAUGUAUCUAGCUCAGGGAUGAGAUAGAGGUCUUAAUUCGAUGAGGCUAUCUCAGGAAGUACUGAAGGGAUCAACUGACUCAACCUCUUGCUGACCGACGACCUCAGUCACAAACUGAGGAGAUUAUCAACAAUCAGCUGACUGCAGGGGUGAUCAACAUGAUCUCCAGAUGAUCGAACUGGGGGGUAACUUUCGAAGAAAAGUCGACAAAGAAGUGACGACUCAAUGAUGUAAUAACUUUUUCAAAAGAGGAUGUUCGGAGAAUUCAAACUCUCCAUGAUGAUGCUGUUGUUGUUUCAGCAACAAUAGCAAAUUAUGGUGUAAAAAAAAUCCUUAUAAAUAAUAAAAGUUCGACUGAUAUUUUAUUUUACUCGACUUUCUUUUGAAUGCAACUACCGACUGAUCGACUCAGAAGAGUCUCGACGCCAUUGGUCGAUUUCACUGAAGGUGCUAUGACUGUAGAAGGAAAAAUCUCUAGUUUCACUGGAGAUGCUGUGACUGUAGAAGGAAAAAUCUCUCUCUCCUUAACCGCGGGAACUGAACCACAACAAAACACUGUUCUUAUAACAUUUAUGGUUGUCCGAAUUUUUUUGACUUAUAAAGCCAUACUCGGAUGACCUAGUCUUAAUGCAUUAAGGGCAGUGAUCUCGACAUAUCAUCUGCUAGUUUGAUUUUUGAUAAAAAAUAGAGUCGGAAAGAUGCACGGAGAUCAACAGCUCAUCCGACGCUGCUUCUUAGUCUCCACACAAAAUAAUAAAUCUGAAGACUCUGCCCAUCGACAAAUUAGAUCAAAGAGAGAAUCAGGAGCGGGGUGAACCAGCUAAGCAAUUGAUUUCCAUCUCAUUAAAAGAAGAAGAUCCUGAGAAGACGGUCCAAAUUGGAUCGUAGCUAUCUGAUCCGAAGCGACAGCAAUUAAUAAACCUACUAAGAGCAAAUACCAAUAUUUUUGCUUGAUCGGCCAUCGAUAUGUCGGGCAUUCUUCUAAAAGUAAUAACUCACCGACUCAACAUCAAACCGAAUGUCAAGCCGGUGAGACAGAAGAAACGAUCUUUUGCUCCUGAAAGAUAAAAGAUCAUUGAUGAAGAGAUCGACAAGCUCCUCAUGGCAAGCUUCAUCAGAGAAGCUACUUAUUCCGAUUAGCUCACCGAUGUAGUGAUGGUGAGGUAGGCUAAUAAAAAAUGGAGAAUUUACAUUGACUAUACAGAUUUGAAUGAAGUUUGUCCAAAAAAUAGCUUUCCAUUAUCGAAGAUUGACCAAUUGGUUAAUAUGAUUUUAGGCCAUUGACUUUUAAGCUUCAUGGAUGCCUUCGCCAGAUAUGAUCAAAUUUGGAUGGUGCUUGAAGAUGAGGAGCACACAGCCUUCGUAACCGACAAAGACAUAUACUGUUAUAAAGUGAUGCCUUUCGGUCUGAAAAAUAUCGGAGCCACCUACCAACGGCUUGUCAAUAAGAUCUUCAAGACACAAAUUGGAUGCAACAUGAAAGUAUAUGUGGAUGACAUACUGGUGAAGAGUCUCCAAACUUCAGAGCAUGUUCGGGACCUUGAAGAGGCAUUCAGCACACUUCGACGAUAUCAAAUGAAGUUGAACCCGACUAAGUGUACGUUCGGAAUGACUUUCAAAAAAAUUUUCAAAUUUCUUGUGUCACAAUGAGGAAUCGAGGCCAACUAUGAGAAGAUAAAGGCUAUCAUCAACAUGAAGCAUCUGAGAUCGAAGAAAGAGAUACAGCAACUCAAUGAAAGAAUCGCUACACUCAACUGAUUUAUAUCAAGAUCAGCAGAAAGAUGCUUGCCUUUUUUCAAGAUCUUGAGGCAAUCAAACGACUUCAUAUGGUCAGAUGAGUGCCAACAGUCCUUCGAAGACUUGAAAAAAUAUUUGGCAUCUCCACCUUUGCUUACAAAACCAAAGGUCAGAGAAAUUUUGUAUCUCUACUUGGUGACAUCAAUGGAGAUAGUGAGUUCGGUGCUUGUCCAAGAGGAUGAAAAUCAAAUUCAACGGUCGAUCUACUACAGUAGCAAGGUGCUUCACAAUAUCGAAGUGAGGUAUUCAAGAGUGGAGAAAAUGAUCUACGCUCUAAUCAUAUCAUCGUAACGAUUUCGUUCGUACUUUCAGGCACAUCCAAUUAUGGUCUUGACAAAUCAGUCAUUGAAGGCGAUCUUACAUCGAUCUGAUACAUCGGAUCGAAUGGCAAAGUGGACAGUAAAACUUAAUGAAUUUGACAUACAAUACCACCCAUGUCCGUCAAUGAAGGCAUAAGUUUUAGCCGAUUUCGUCACCAAAUGUACAAUAUCCGAUAGUAAACUAGAGGAUGAAACUUGUGAUACAAUAAAACAAGCCACGACUCUUGAACCCGACUUAACGUCGGCUUAGGUGCUGCAUAUUGAUGGAGCAUCUGAUGCACAAGGUAGUGGAGCUGGCCUCAUUCUUACAAAUUUCGAUGGGAUGAUUACUGAUAUGCCCUUCGAUUCAACUUCAAAACAUCAAAUAAUCAAGCCAAAUAUGAAGCAUUCUUAACUGGCUUGAAGAUUACCAAGAAACUUGACGUCGAUAGUCUAAAAGUCUUUACCGACUCGCAAUUAAUUGCUGGACAGGUCAAGGAUGAAUUUGAAGUCCGAGAUCCUAUCAUGAUAAAGUAUCUUCAAAAAAUGAAGGAUCUUAUAUUAACCCUAAAAUACUUUGAGAUCUUUCACAUUUUAAGAAUAAAAAAUGCUCAAGCCGACACACUCUCCCGACUUGCUACUACUUCUUUUAACUCGCUGGGACGGACAUUCGUUGAAUGCCUCAAACAGCCGAGUAUCGACAAAGUCGAUAAAGUAUUACAACUCACUGUUGAACCAAGCUGGAUGGAUCCGAUUGUCCAGUACCUGACCAACGGGACUUUUUUUAUGGAUCCUUCAGAAGUCAAACAACUCUGAUGGAUGGCCUCUCAAUACAUUCUGAUGAAUGGUCAUCUCUAUAAAAGGUCAUUCUUCCUUUCCUUACUAAAGUGUUUGGGACCAAUAGAUGUCGAUUAUGCACCCAGAAAAGUCCACAAAGGAAUUUGUGGAAAUCACUUGGGGGCAAAUCUCUAGCCUACAAGAUCCUACGAUAAUGAUACUAUUGACCCACCAUGAAGAAAGAUGCAGCUGAACUUGUUCAGAGGUUUAAACCAUAUUAAAGAUAUGCAAAUCUACAAUAUCAAUCGGCCAGCCAGCUAAUAUCGAUUGUUGCACCAUGACCCUUCGCACAAUGAAAAAUCGAUAUACUUGGUCCUUUUCCUCCGAUGUUUGGUCAGAGAAAGUUCAUAGUGGUCACUAUCGACACUUCACUAAAUUGGUAGAAGCUGAAUCUCUGACAUAAAUUACUAAAAGUAAGAUAGAAGACUUUAUUCAGAAAUCAAUUAUAUGCAGAUUUGGUUUGUCAUAGACCAUCAUCACUGAUAAUGGUCGGCAAUUCGACAAUCAGAACUUCAAAGAGUUCUGUACGAAAUUUUAUAUUACGUACAAACUCACAUCAGUUGGCCAUCCACAACCCAACGGAGAGGUGGAGAUAACCAACUGAAUAAUUUUAUAUGGACUCAAAAUCUGACUGAAUGAAGCUAAAGACCUCUGGAUGGAAGAACUAUAUCCGGUCUUAUGGGCAUACCAAACAACUCCUCACAUACCGAUGGAAGAAUCGUCAUUUAAUUUGGCUUACGAAAUAGAAGCAAUGAUCCUGCUCGAGAUCAGAUUACUGUCAAUGAGGGUCGAGCAAUACAGUGAGUCGAGCAAUUUCAAAUAUCGAAGAGCCGAUUUAGAUCUACUUUUAAAAGUCCGACAGCAAGCUCAAGUUUGGAUAGCUACAUAUCGGCAAAGGAUAGUUCGGUAUUAUAAUUCAAGAGUCAAGCUGAAGGUCUUCCGAUCAUGAGACUUGGUUCUAAAGAAAGUAGAAAUCUUAAAACCUUUGGAUCAAGAAAAGCUAUCUCCGAAUUGGAAAGGACCUUAUAGAAUAGCCGAAACACUCAGACUAGGCGCAUAUCGGCUAGAGACACUUGAAGGGUCAGCUAUUCUUCGAAUAUGGAAUGCUGACAAUUUAAAAAUAUAUCAUCAAUAAAAUUAUCCAUGUAUACAUUGUUCGAAAUGAAAUACAGAAUUUCAAAAUCACAAUUCUCGAUCGGCUACGAAAUAAUUUUGAACCGAUAAGUGAACGGUCGACUUAUAUCAACCAUCGAUCAUAUGUCGGCUUUCACCGUAAAAGUCGAACUACCGACUAUAUCUCGGCACAGAAUUUACCUCGAUUUUUCACUGUAAAAAUCGACAUUAAUCAUAUCGGCUUUCAUUGUAAAAGCUGUAAUACCGACUAUGUCUCGAUACCAAACAUACUUCGGCUUUCCAUUGCAAAAGCCAAUCAUAGUCGAAAGACUAUGAUGCCGACUUAAUCCUAACUAAACAGAAUAUUAUGCCAAUACGACUAAAGUUGGAUUGAAAUCAUACUAACUUAGUUACGACUAAUCGAAGGAUAUUUGGCUUACUACCGAUUAUCAAAUGACUUGACGUACAAACCCGACUAAAUAUCGGAUGCAGGGUAUUUCAACUUAUCCUAAUUCUUAAGUAUGUCAAAAAAACUAUGCACAGAUAAUUUUAUAAGUCCUAUCGAACGUUUGGUUCGUCAAUUGAUGUUCGGUAGCUAAAUAAUUACUUUACAUUGCAGACAAACAAAAUGAAGAGUCUGGACAUAGACAAAGUUCUUUUCAUUUAUUGCCAAAAAGAGAUAUUACAAAAUUGAACCGAAGUCCAAUUACAAGUGUUUGAUUACAAGAAGAAAAAUAACAAUACACCGAUCAUCAGUCGUCGCCUUCAUCUCUUUGCUCUAGAGUAACUUCAAGGACUUGGAUGACUUCUGAUGCUGUCAGUGUCCUUCCUUCAGUCAGUACUACAUCUUCUUCAGUAGCUCCAUCUUCCAACCUAGGAGGGACGAUGCUGCUCAAGUUGAGAUUUGGGUAUAAUUUUUCAACCACAUCUCGACCGUCUUCAUACCCAACACAGUAGGAGGCGAACCCACCUUCGAGGAUCUCUUCCUUGGAUUCUUCUGAAUUUUUGAAGUCCUCGAUUGUCCGACUCAACGCCUCCCUCACCGACUCUGCUUCCACCUUCACCAACUCAACAUCGGCUCGUACAGAAGAUGACUCCUCUUCGGCCAGUGCCAACCUUUCCAGGCUGGCCCGAUGUCAUCCACAUUCAGCUUUGAGUUCAGUAAUACAUCCGUCUCAUUUCCGUCGAAGUUGAUGGAUGGAGUGUUUCUUGCUCUUGACCUGUAACUCAAGAGUCAAAAUAUUUUGGUGAGCCGACUCAAGUUCAGCUCCAGAAGAUUCUAAGUCAUCAAUCAAUCAAAAAAUUUUCUACUGAAGCUUGGCCUCUCGCUCAGCUGCUGACUUAAGCUGCUCGAGGGCAGCCACCUUCUGAGCAUCGACGGCCGUCACUUAUUCAUCCAUGUCUGACAGAAGUUGUCGAACUUCACAUAGUCGGCUUCUAGGUCAGACAUGUCGUGGAUCAACUGCAGACAGAAGAUGAGCCGGAUCAGAUUAAAAAAAAGAAGAGUAGUAAAAAAAAGAGUGAAAGCAGCUUACCCCAAGUAUUAUCGAGUAGAAGGAUGAGAACAUCUCAGCCACCAUCCGGUUUCUUCGACUCUCCCGAUCGAUCGGGAGAAGAGCGGCUUGGAUGAGCUGCUUAGCCAAUGUCGGAUUGGCUAGAGCUGACUCAUCUUAGGGACUCUAAGGUCAAAGUGGAUCGUGUGCCCCUCCGACGCUGCAUCGCCCGUCGAAGUCACCGGAGCUUUUCUCCGAUCUUCUGUCGGUGGCCCCACAUUCGAAAGUGAGAGAAAGCUUGAACUCGACUACGUCAGAGAAACUACUACUGAAAGAGCAACUGGUACAGCUACAGAUUGCUCAGGUUCGGCCUCAGCCUCCACCUCAGCCCGAACCUCCUCGAUUGGUGGAGCUAUCGACGUUGCUGCAGCAGCUCCUUCUCUCACCAUUUCUUCUUCAAACGGUGCAGUGGGAAGCACUGUCGGGGCUAACAGCAUCAAGACUGGCUCAAAAAUUGAUGCAGAUGGCACAUCGAGUUCCUCAGUCGACGUUGAAGCAGUAACUCGACUCUUCUUGGAUGGUCAGAAAAGACCAGCCUCGAAUGCUGUCCUCUUCUUCGCAGCAUGUUGACAAAUGUUGGCGCUCGACACUCGCACCUUCAGCUACAUGGCUACAAUCAGAAUAACAAAAGUCAGUACGAUUCAGAAACAAACAAAAAAAAUAAAGUUGGAAGUAACUGACUAUACUAUACCUAAGUUGGUGAUCGAACUGAGACCGACGUCAUAGAGAGCCUGUUCAGUCAUAAGCUCUCUCUGUGGUGAGACCGUCAUAUCCUUCAGUCGAUGGAAGUCCUCCCGAUCGCCGACCUCUACUCGAUUGUUAUCGUUGGGGCCGAUUCUUGGAUCGCCCCAGUGAGAAGGAAAGCCCCAAGGAAGAGAGGAAGAAACAAAAAAAACUGAUUCUUCCGUCCAUGGAUGGACGAUGAAAGAUCAAUAAUAAAAAAAAACCUUUUCGAAGGUUGAAGAACCACCAACUCUUGACCUUUGGAUGAGGUCAGAGGACAAAAAAAACACGAAAAAGGGAAGGACGAGAUUCGAUCGGCAAUAACCGACACAAUAGAGCAAAAUUAGUUAUUAGCCGGACCGAAUUUGGUGCCAACUGGGUAGGACAAAGACCAUAAUAGUCCAAAAUAUUUCAGACAAUAUCCAGAAUCAGAAAUUGAAGAUCCGUCCGAAGAUCUUCGACAUAAAAAGCCACCUGACUCGAAGGAGGGGCGUUCACCCAACCAUCGGCACCAGGGGCGAAGAGCUGAAAUUACUCUGGGAUGUGAUAUUGCCCCUAAAGCCGAUCGACAUUCGAUUUCGUAAGUGAAGAAGUCUCCACUUUCGGACCCGACGGGGAGUCAUCAGUCGGAUUCUCCGACCGACCAUCCCAAGAGGAGGAACUCCUAGCCAUCGAAGAGAAAAAGACUAAAGGAGACGAAAAAUAAUUCAAAGAAGAUAAAGAACUCAACCUGAAACUCAAAGAGGAAGAUGAGGAAGAAAGAAAAGUCUUCAAAUGCUAGGAUGAUUCUCUGGUAGAGCUUCCGCAACAAAAAAGAUAAAUGAAAAGUAAAAAGUUGGCUGAAAGCGACCCUAUAUACAUAGGAUCCCUCAACGACCAGGAUCGAAGCAUCCAAAUCAAGAUCUCACCAGAUGUUGACACGUGGUGACAUCUGAGCCAACCAUUGAUUGGACAGUUUGAUGCACCUACUCUAGUUCGAGCCACGUCACCACUAUCUGCGUGAACAGCUCCGACCCAAUGACAUUCGGAUACGUGGCAAAGAUCUACUUGUCAAAAUCGUAUCGUCUAGCACCGAAUCAUCUUUUCGAAAUGACAGAAUUUACAACCAACUUCCGACUCUGACUCAACAAACGCCGACCGACUGCACAUACAACUUCGACUAUGCAUCAGCUGACUGGAUAAAUCACACCAACUAAUGGUCAGCAAACUGACUGACAUUCAGCUGCUACCGGUCAACAGCAGACAAUUUGAAUAACCUCUGACUCAAGACCGUCGGCACAUCAGAACUACUAGCCAAUAGUUUGCUUGGACCUUCUACCGACAUAUCAAUAUCACCGACAUAUAGUCGGCCAAUCUGCUCAACAUACUAUAACCGUUAUGAGCAGUUAUCGACUACGGGUCACGAUAAUUAGUGGGAGUUAACAAUCCACUAAUUUUAUAAUUAUGGUCUGAUAAUUUAGCAUCAUAAAAAGUGAGAUCACGUGUUCGACGGUUACAUCAGAAUCACCUAUAAAAAAUGAGGUAAGUGAAUAGUACCGAUAAGACACUUUUGAGCUAGAGCUCUGCUAUUCUCAACAUUCAAAUCUACUGUUCAUCAAUUCUCAUUCUGACUUAAGCAUCGGAGGAUCCUCGUUGGACACAACUUUAGUAUGUGAAGAUGCUAUUUUGUAGAUGUUCAUCAACGACGACAGAUGAUAGAAAGUUGGCCGCAAUAAUUUCAUAACUCAACCACCACAUUAUACUUGGACAACUGACGGACAACGAUGGCAGCUCAGACAACAUUUUCAAUGGUUCAUUCAGUGGCGGACGUAGGAUUUUUAAUUUCUUUGUCUUUUUUUUUUUUUUUUUUGUGUAUUCUUUUGCCACGCCAAAAGUUUUGUGGUAACUUAUUUGCUUUUUUUUUUUUCUUUGGCGUGGAUGAAAAGACGUGUUCGCAAGUCUUUUCUCUAUUUGGUUUUGUUGACUGUUGGUUGUAGCGAGCUAAUCCACUAAAGCGAACUGCAUGCUUAGUGUCCUCGGUUUUUAUUCUAGGUUGGCAUAAUUUAAACUUUCUCUUAGAAUUGGUUUAUAUGCAGGCCUAUCUACCAUGGCUUUCUUCAAUCGACUCUAUCGGAGUGGAUGAUUUUUGGCGGAAAGUGGUCUUUUAUUGGCAUUCUAAUAGCAGAAAUGAGUGAUUCUAUUUAUGAAUAAAUUUCAUGUCAUUCUAAUUGUUGUUGUCUUUUUUCUAAAAUUACAAUAAAGAUGUGUAUGUGUCAGUGUCCAACUACUAAUUAGUUAGCGAGGUUUUUUCAAUAAGAGGGAGUUAAGACUGUUAUUGGGCGUUUUUGAGAUGAUGUGUUUGUUGAAUGUAAAAUGCAUGGUUCUCGAUUGUAGUUUUGGUUCUUGGCUUCUGUUCUUUCUAAUCUUGAGCUUUGUUUCAUGACUUCUUUUUUUUUUUAGAGACAAGGUUUAUUUAGUCACUCGCUUAAUUGGGUGUCCCUGGCUUAUGUUUCAUUAAGGAAGGUGACUGCCUUUCAGGUAUUAUUCGAGAUUGCAUCAAUGGAGGUGUUGAGCUCAAUGAAUUUGGCUUUGGUGCCUGAUCUGAAAGACAUGAGUCAUCGACAAAUAAAAAGAUAAUGAUGUGCUUGCCUUUAUAGGGCUUUAAUUGCAAAGCUCAGUUGGAACCAAGAUGAGUUUUAGUUUUAAGCACGGACUACACUUUGCUUUUAAAUCUAAUUUUCAUAAGAAAAUAAAUACCUUUUAGUUAUCAUUUGAUCUUUGUUUGGUGGAGGAUUUAUUGAUGAGGGACUUUCUAUGGAUGAGGGACUUUCUUCUUGCUAUAGGUGAAUCAGUAGAAAAACUAUAUAGCAGGGAUGGAGGGAGCUCAUGGAGGGUAUCACUUGAAUGCGGGUAUUAACCCCUUCUAUAUUCUCUGCUGACAAAUUUGGUUGAUAUUGUGUUCAUGUUCAUAUUGAUUUGGGUGAUUGAAUUCCAUUUAAAUCUGACUUUGAGCCAAGAUCCAUUUUGGUUUCAAGCGCAGAUCACAAUUACCUUUUAAAUCUGAUUUUUAGAAGAAAACAAAUCCUUGCUAUUAUUGUCUGAUCUAUUAUUGUCUGAUCUAUAGAAAACAAAUCCUUUUAUUUGCUAUAGGUGCAUGGGAUUGAUCAUAAAUAAAUCAGUAGAGAAAUUAGAUCAAGAAAGAUGGAGGUGGCUCCCACAAAGUCGAUCCAUUAAUACAGGUAUUGAUUCUUUCAAUCUUCUCUACCGGUGGAUUCUAAAGUUGUGAUUUGGUUGAUGUUACAUUUGUGUUAAUAGUAAUUUAGUGAUUGGAUUCUAUUUUUAUAGCUUUUAGUGAAAAAAAUUAAAAAAAUAGAGAACAAAAAAUACAUGUCAUAAAUCAAUGCAGAUAGCAUGUUGAAUUUGAAUGAAACAUAAUUUGACAAUAUAAAAGAGAAUUUACCAGCAAGGGAAAAUGCCUAAUAGUCAAGUUGGUACAGAAUUGAUGAUAAUAAUAUUGCUGAAAUUUAGUUAGAUCAAUCUCUCGAAAAGGCAUAUAUUAGUAAUUAGCAUGCUAAUAUAACUGUCUAUCGAGAAAUAUAUAAAUUACAAUACAAUUCAUGAUCUUUAUGAGAUAUUAUUAUAAAUUUUAUAUGCAUUUUAUAACUAUUUAUCGAGAAAAUAUGUAUUUAUAAUAUAAGGUUCCAUUUGGUUGGGGGCAAUUUGGUAUGGAAAAAUGAAUUCUAUAUCAAAUUACUAUGUUUGGUAUGAAAAAGAGAAAAAAAAAAUGGUAAAAAAAUUGAUGGAUCUCAUAUUUAUUUUUUGGAGAGAGAAGGUAAAAUAAAUACCAUGAGAGGGUGGUAUUUGAAAAAUUUUCGAGUGAUAGUAAUCCAUACUUGAUAAAAAUAUCUCUAAUAAAACUACAUAUGUAAUCAUUAAAUUUAUUCUGAUAUCUUUUCAAAUUCAUUCAAUAAAGAGCUUUUGCAAAAAAAUUAAAAUUAAGAUGGCAUCAUGCAAAGGAUUAUGUGAUUAUAAUCAUUAUAUCAAAACUAAUUAAAGAUAAUAUUUUCUAUUAUUUUAUAUUGAAAAGUAUAUUUAUAAAUUUGAUCACAUUCCUAUAUAAAUUUACCUCCAAUCAAACGAAGUAAUCUUUUUCUAAUACUAUUUUUCGGAGUAAUUUUUCUACCAACCAAACAUGGUAAAAAUUAUUUUUUUCGCAAUCAUUUUUUCAGAUAAAUGAUUCCCAUAAAUUAUUAGAUUAUCUCGUAAUAUGAUAUACCCCAAUUAAAUGAACCCUAAAGGUAAUAUGUCAUAAUACAUAUACUCUUUUCAAAGCACAAAUUAAAUUAUUAUGGUGAUAUCAUUUACUUUAUGUUAAAAUCUACAUGAUCAAAUAUAUGUAAACCCAAACUCUUAAACAAAUACAAGUUACCUAGGUGAGUUGUUAGUUUAAAAAUAAUAACAAUAAAGAAUCUUACAUGUACGUUUUAGAAGGCAUGCCAUUAUUUUUCUUUCUUUUUUUUCUCUUUCUUUUGAUAAAAGGGUCACUAGGCAAUAAUAUAUGCAAAUGAGAAUUAGCCCUUCUUCAAAUACUCUUGCCCCUCGAUACUCUGAUGAAGAUGAGAUUUGACUUAACUUACUUAUUCCAAGUGCCAAGUAUUUUAGGUGCUUGCUGUGUAUGAGGAUGUGUGUGUACAUAUUUAAUUCCACAUUAAUGAUACGUUAGAGAGAUCCUGAAUAUCUAUGCAAGGUUAAGAAAUUUGAAUAAUAUUUUUUACCUAUCUUUUUUGGAUGAGGUGUUAGGCCGUUAUAAAUAUUAUCAAAGGAGAUCCAACUUAUAUCCUAUGUAGAUCAGAUGACAUUGUAGUAUAAGCUCAUUUGGGACUAACAAUAGGCUAAUCAUGAUUUUUAUGAUUGAAUUUGGUUACAUGGGACUUUUAGUCUAUUGACGACAUCAUGAUUUAAAUAGAAAGAGUAUGUGAGAACUUUGGGUAAGGUCCUGGGUUAUUGCAAUAAGCUAGCACAUUCAAAGGCAUGCCAUGCCAUGACAUAAGUUAGGGGUAUUAUAUAAUAUAUAUAAUACCCCUAACUUUAGUAUUAUAUUAUAUUAUUAUCUUAUAUAUAAUAUAAUAGAAUUAUAUAUUAUUAUGAAUAUAAUAUAUAUGUAUAUAUAUGUGUGUGUGUGUAUGUAUAUAUGUGUGUGUGUAUAUAAAAACAAAAUAUAUCGUGGAAAAUAUGGAUCAAUCUUAGCAAUUUAUCCAAAAAAAUAGUAGUACAAAAGAACAUAAUAACAAAUUUUAGAGCCACUUUUUAAUUUAUAAUGAAUAUGGAUAAAUUAAUUUUCUAACUAAAUAUUAUCUAGGAAACAUCUAUCCAUAAAAAUAUAGAUUCCUAGAUAAAAUUUUUACCCUCUAAAAGGUUUGCAUGCAUGCAGACUCAUGAAAAGAAAAAUAGAAAGGGAGAAAUAUGUGCAUCGAAAGGAAUAGUUAUAAGUAAAUCUAUGCAUCUAUCUUCAUGUGCUAUGCAGGUCAUGGUAAUUUAACCUCCAACAAGCCCACUUGGCACCCAUGGAAAAGAUAUAAAGGUGAAUUUUUAUGUUAAAAUAUAUCUUUUAAAUAUUUAUUUUGAAUACCACUGAAGCGGUAGCCCGGGUGGGAACGGACCUACGCUUCCAUCCAAAUGGUAAUGGCUUCCUGAAUCGAAUAUUCGUCAGUGGGAAGGAGGCCCUUAUGGUCACGCUCAAAGGAGAUUGUUAUGCUGGUCACCGCCCCCCCCCCCCUCAUUUUUUUUACCAAAAAAAAAAUAUUUAUUUUGUACCAUCUAGUAAUGUAUUUGUAAUAUUUUAACCUUGUCGUUACCUUGAUGUACUGGGCCCUAAUAUUGUUAAUAGAACUUUUGGUUGUUACUUAUUUAAUUGACCCUUAGCAUGCUUCAAAUAAUAAAAUUAUGACUUUCAUUAAGUAUUUUAAUUAAAAAACAAUAGUAGAUGUAUGAUGCAACUAUUUGAUAAUAUCACUGUUUUAAAAAAAAUUGCAUUCCUAUAAACUAGUUUUGAAUUUCAUUUGGAAGGCAUGCCAUUUUCACCUAUGCUGCUUAAAAAAGUAGAGAUUUGCUAUGAAUAUGAGGCUGCCAGUAUCUAUCUUCCAACACGUCUUUAGAAGAGCAAACAUCAUCCAUGGCUUUUCCCAUGUUUUCCCCUUCUUCCCCCCCCCCCCCUUUAAUUUCCCUCUUCUUUUCCAAGUAUGCAGCUUUCACUUUCUCUUUCUCCUUCCCCCCUUUCCCGUGUAUGUAUAUAGUGUUUAUUUAUCUCACCACAAUCCACACCUGCUCUCUUCAAGCGUCAAAACCAAUUCGCCCAACAGGAGGUUGACUCGUCGGUCCUUGUUAAAAUCCGAUUAUGGAAAGCUAGAAGCUGGAAACAGUUUUUUUAGUUGAUUGACUAAAGCAAAAAUCGAAUUUUUUCAAUACCGUAGCAACUGAGCAUCCUUUGCCCAUCUUCUCAUCGUAAAUUUCACUAGUUUAAUUUUCUCCGUCACUCUUUAGAAUAGAAAUAGAAAUAAGUAAUUUUCAUUCCAAAUAUUUGAUUAGAGAAAAUAUUAUUCUUAUUCUAUAUUUCAAUAGAAUCCAAUAGAAAUAUAAUUAUUCUGAUUCUCAUUUUAAUUUAUUCUGAUUUUAAUUACAAACUAAAUGCACCUUGCAUUUCAUGCCUUAAGUCAUUACGGUAGGAGGAAGCCCACCCUCCUGACCUCUUCUCCUCCUGUUAUUCCAUACUCUGCCCCGCUCUCUCCCCUUUUUUUUUCUCCCACCAGGCCUUCGCCGUUUCAACCGACUGUUCCUCCUCCACGUCUUGCAUCCGUACUACAACUACUGGUGGAAAGAAUAAUAUGGAAAAUCCACCGCUUACAAUUGGAUUCUCUGGAGAUAAACCCGGUGAUAACUAUGCUCAAGAUGGAUGGCAGAAGGACACCAUCGCUCAAAAUUAGGAGAUCAAAACUCAAAUGUAGCAUGGCCUAGGUGGCGGGCUAGGGCAGGUGUCAAGGAGCUUGAGAUCCAAUUUAUUAUUACUAAAUAAAUAGAUUUCUUUUAUUUGUCAAGGGUUGUUUAUGCAUGCCGCAACCUGGUCCGUUCCAAUGUCUCUUUGCUGUGCUUUCUGUCCUGUCUCUGUUGCUCUGUCAGAGAGUUUAUGGUAUAUACACGCGAAGGUCAGUAAUAAUCAGUUUGUGUUUUUUUUUUUUUUGGGCUAAAAUAUUUGUGUUAUGUUUGUCUCCUUUGUUUGUACAUCUAAUUUCCACCAAAUAAGGGAAACAAGUUGGAGAGCGCUUUGUUAAAAAGGCUCUUGGAUUGUCCUUGCAGACAGGUUGUUGGGAUAUGCACAGUUCAUUAGGAUGUGGUAAAUUUGUAUUGCUUUCUUCAUUGCUGAGCUCUCUCUGAUUCCAUGUUUAAAAUGAUAUGCUGGUUUCAUUCACUGGUGAUGGUUAAAUUCUUACACUAUUACCGCUUUUCUUGACUAAAUGGUUAUCAGUAUAAUUCUUCAUAAAUAAAGCAAAUAACAGGUAUUCACUUAUUCUUGAAAUAUACAUGGCCCAAAAAAAAAAACUAUUCUUGAAGUAUUCAUAGAUUCUAAUAUAUUGUACAUCCCCAUUAACAUAACAAGUAUUUAUGGGUUACAAAAUUAGUGGUGGCAUUUCUUAGCCAAGUAUUUAAUAUUACUCUUUUCUAUUUUUUUUUGCACCGAAUUUUUAUGUAGAAGAUAGUACUUCUCAUUUAUAAAUAAAAAAUACAAUAUCAAUGAUUUUUGUAAUCCAUCGUUCCUAGCUUUCCUUCUUUCUUCCAACUAUUAAGCUUCCUGUUAUAUAUUUUUCCUCCUUUUUUAUCUUUUCUAUUUCUCUUUUUAAAAUGUGUGUGUUUCCUUUUAUCAUGUUCUGGAGCUCUUAUUAGCACCUGACAUCCAUAAUUCAUGAAUGAACUACAUUUGGCCAUUAAAAUCAUUUAAAAAUAAUAACAAUAAAGAAUCUUACAUGUAGGUUUUAGAAGGCAUUCCACUAUUUUUCUUUCUUCUUUUUCUUUUUAUAGAAAGGCCUUUAGACAAUAAUCUAUGCAAUGAGAAUUACCCAUUCUUCAAAUAUUCUUGACCCUUGAUACUCUGAUGAAGAUGAGAUUUGACUUAAGUUACUGGUUCCAAAUGCCAAGUAUUUUUGAUACUUGCUGUGAAUGAGGAUCUGCGUGCGUAUAUGUUUAGUUCAACAUCAGUUAUACGUUGGGGAGAUCCUGGACAUUUAUACAAGAUUAAGAAGUUCAAAAUUUUUGGAUGAGGGACUAGACCAUUAUAAAUAUUAUCAAAGGAAAUUCAACUUAUGUCCCAUACAGAUCGGAGGAUAUUAUAGCAUAAGUUUAUUUGAGACUAACAACAGGCUAAUCAUGAUUUUUAUGAUUGAAUUUGAUUGCAUGGGACUUUUAGUCUAUUGACGACAUCGUGAUUUAAAUGGAAAGAGUAUAUGAGGACUUUGGGCAAGGUUCUGGGUUACUGCAAUAAUAUAGCACAUUCACAUGCAUGUCAUGACAUUAGUUUACUCGAUCAAGUUCACGUAACCAUCAAGAAUAUGCUUGCUCAUGGAAAAUCCAAAAUGAGCCAGUUACAAAACCAUAGCCAAACCCAGACGCAUGAUACACCCAAGAGUUACAUUACAGUUAUUUCGCAGUAACAAUCCAAAAUCCAUCCGUUAUUUUGACUUUGGAGUAGGCACAUAUAAUUUGGGUCAGGAUUGUUGGAAAAAAAUAUAAGAUUGGAUACUUGUAUUUAGCUAUUAAUAAAAUAUACAACUAAAAGCCUAAAUAUAGAGAUUUACAAGGAAGAAAUAAUGUUACCAUGAAGUCGUACUAGGCACUAUCCUUAAAGGUUGAUUUGUGCCCUCUCCGAAACUAUGCUUGGUGCAAAAUGGGUUUCUCGGCGCGACAACCCUCCAUGAUUAAAUCAUGGGUGUUUGGUGUAAGUGUGCACUCACACUACCCAAACCAAUAAUAGAUAGCUCUCAAGUACUUCUCUAUAUAAUGCUAAAGAGAAUAUAGAAGAAGAGAGAUUUUUUAUUUCUUCUAACUGCUGUGUUUAACCUGGAGAGUGAGAGAGGUUUAUAUACAGAAGGAUAUAACAGCUAGUUUAGAAACAUAUGCAAAAAAAGCUCUUUCAACAAAUAAAGUAGGUGGCAGGUUCUCAAAAUAUUUUAUCCUUUACAAGAAAGAUCAUUAAUUCUCCGAUAUGACUUUUAUUUUUAUUUUUUAUUUUUUCGAAGGAAGGUGUAAAUGAAUUACCAACUACCAUCACACUAGAGUUAAAGUUUGAAACACCCAAUGCACAAGUCACGACAGUCCCCCAUAUGUUUCAAACUUUAACAGAAAGGAAUAAACAAAACACUAUGCGUUAGUAUGGUACCUGCAGGUUUGAACUAUACUUUAGACUUUGUAAGGCAGAGUCCACUAGAGAUAAGAUAGAGUAAUAACUCUUUAACCAAUGUCCCUUUAGGGUGGAUAGCUCUACUUACUAGUCAUAUAAUGUUUUUGAAUAAUGACUACUUGAGCGAGUUGGCACGUUACAGCCAUGCACCCAUCCUGGAUAUCAUGAGUGCUCUAGAGUCUAUGCCCAAAGACUUAUAAGAAGCGGCCUCACUUUCACACUCACUUAGGUGGUAUCCAUCAAGGGUAUGCUGCAGUUAAUACCACACCCUCAUAUUUUGGGACUAUGGAUCCAUUAAGAGCAAAAGCUCAACCUCAACCUCACUGCAGCUGUACUAACUACGCGAUAGGGAGGGACUCAUCACCAGUCAUCUCAUAUGAUAGAGGAUAACUCAAAGAUGGCAGUAUUUCUACUUAAGAAAUAUAUAACUUCAUUUGACCCAUUGAACCUCUUUCAUGGGAUCUCCAAUCAUAGAGGUUAGGUAUCCAUCAUAUGGUCUCAUCUAAUGUGCAUCAGUCCCAUCCUCCUCAAUGUGUCACUUACUAACAUCCUAGCAAGUGGCUUAGUCAGAGGAUCUGUGAAAUUCUUCUCUGACCUCACAAAAUCCAUGGAUAUAACCCCAUCACUGACAAGCUGUUUUACAAUAUUAUGUCUCAAUCUUAUGCAUCGACUUUUUUCAUGUUAAAUUUUAUUCUUUGCUCGAGCAAUAGCAGCUUGACAAUCACAAUGUAAACUCACGGAUGACAUUGGUACUUUCUAUAAAGGAAUACCAACUAAUAAAUUUUUUAGCCACUCGGCUUCCGACCCAGACUUCUCCAAGACUAUAAAUUUUGAUUCCAUAGUGGAUCUCGCUACACAAGUUUGCUUGGAUGAUUUCCAAGAGACUGCACCACCUACUAAAGUAAAAAUAUAUCUACUAGUAAAUUUAACUCAUCAGAAUUAGAAAUUCAAUUUGCAUCACUAUAUUCUUCUAACACCAUAGGAUAUCCACAAUAACACAAACCAUAAUCUAUACUAUCUUUUAAAUAUCUUAAUAAUCUAUCAAAGGCAAUCCAAUGAUCACUACUAGUAUUAUGAGUGUAUCUACUAAGUCUACUCACAGCAUAUGCAAUAUCAAGGUGUGUGCAAUUCAUUAAAAACAUCACACAUCCAAUUACUUGAGCAUACCUAGUUUGAUUAAUACUUUUACUAUUAUUUUUCACAAGAUGCAAACAAUAAUCAUAAGGUGUAGAUACAGAUGAGCAUUCAGAGUAAUCAAAUUUUUUUAACAUACUUUCCACAUAAUGUGAUUGUGUUAAUAUAAAGCAUCCAUCUUUUUUGAAUAAUUUAAUUACAAGAAUCAUAUCGACUUCACCCAUAUCUUUCAUGUCAAAAUGAGAUGCUAAAAAGCAUUUAGUACAUUCACAAUGUCAAUGUUGGUUCCAAAUAUAAGCAAGUCAUCAAUAUAUAAGCAAAUAAUCACACCAACAUUAUCUUCAAAUUUACUGUAAAUGUAUUUAUCAGCUUUAUUUAUCACAUAGCCAUUUGAUAUCAUCACAUUAUCAAAUUUUUCAUGCCAUUGCUUAGGAGAUUGUUUUAAACCAUAAAGAGAUUUGACAAGCUUGCAUACCUUGUUUUCCUUGUCCGAUACCACAUAUCCUUCAGGUUGUUCCAUAUAAAUCUCCUCCUCAAUAUUACCAUUAAGAAUUAUAGUUUUUACAUCUAUUUGAUGCACUAUAAGCUUAUAGAUUGGUAUAAUAGCAAAUAAAACUCUAAUGGAUGCAAUUCUAGUUAUUGGAGAGUAAGUAUCAAAAUAAUCAAUAUUUUAUUUUUGUUUGUAGCCCUUAGCUACCAACCUAGCCUUAUACUUAUCAAUACUACCAUCUAGUUUUAAUUUCUUUUUAAACACCCAUUUACAUCCAAUAGGUUUUGUCUUUAGAGGCAAAUCAACUAACUCCCAAGUGUGAUCAGAUAAAAUUGAUUCUAAUUCACUUUGAAUAGCUUCUUUCCAAAAAGGUGCACCAAUGGAAGUAAUGGCAUCAUUAUAAGUUAAAGGAUCAUUACUAACAAGGUGUGUAUAAAAAUCAUCACCAAAAUUAGUUUCCUUUCUUUCUCUUUUACUUCUCCCAAGUUCAUGCUCCCAAGUUCAUGCUCAUGCUCAUGCUUAUGUCCAUUAUGCACAUCAUGUAAAUUAUGCAACACCUCUUUGUUCUUAUUCUUCAUAGGAAAAACAUUUUCAAAAAAUGAUGCAUUACAAGAUUCAAUAAUAGUGUUAAGUUCAAUCACAUCACUCUUUACAACAAGAAAUCUAUAAAUAACACUAUUAUGUGCAUAACCAAUAAAUACACAAUCACAGGUUCUUGAACUAAGUUUUCUCUUCUUGGUUUCAAGAAACAUCACCUUAGCUAAGCACCCCCACAUUUCCAAGUGUUCUUAGCUAGGUAAUAUCCCAAACCAAAGUUCAUAUGGUGUCUUACCAGUUUUUUUGUGAGGUAUUCUAUUUUGUAAGUAACAAGUCGAAAAGACUGCUUCCCCCCACAUGUUGGUAGGCAAUUCAGAACUAACAAGCAAAGCAUUCAUCAUUUCUUUCAAGUUUUAUUUUUUCUUUUGGCUAUGUCAUUAGAUUCAGGUGAAUAUGGCAGAGUCACUUCAUGCACAAUACCGUGUUUUUCACAAAAAAUAUUAAAAGGAUUAGAUUCAUAUUCACCACCUCUAGCAGUUCUCAACCUCUUAAUUUUUCUAUUAAGUUGGUUUUCCACUUCAUUCUUAAAUUCUAUAAACAUGUCACCAGCUUCAUCUUUGGUUCCUAAAAGAUAAAGUUUAAUCUAUCUAGAAUAAUCAUCCACAAAAAUUAUAUAGAAUUUUUUUACCACCUCUAGUCAUUGUGUGCUUUAAAUCUCCCAAAUCACUAUGAAUUAAUCCUAAUAAUUUGGAUUCACUUGUUAUGGUUUUACAAGGUUUCUUAGUUAUUUUGGUUUCAACACAGACUUCACAUUUAUCCAGGUUAGUAUUUGCCAAGUUUGGUAUUAAUCUAAUUUCUUUCAUUUUCUUAAUAUAAGGCAUAUUCACAUGUCCAAACCUAUCAUGCCAAACAUCAAGAGAAUCAAUCAAGCACAAGAAGAAGAUGCACUUCCUUUAUCAUUUUCGACAUUUAAUAUGCAUAGACCAUCACUAAGAUAACCUUUUCCAAUAUACACAUCAUUUUUGGACAAAGUGACAAUAUUACUAUUAAAGGUUAUCUUCACAUUUGCAUUGUUGAGAAGAUGGACCAUUUGCACUGUUGAGAAGAUGGACUGACACAAGGCAGUGCUUGAUGGCAGGUACAUAUAGUACAUCAGAGAGCAAAAAGGACUUUUCAGAUGUCAAUUUUAGUGGUACCUUGCCUUUAUCCAAAACCGAGACCCUACUUGAAUCCCUAAGGUACACUACUUCUUUUCCUUCUUCCACUGGAGUGUAAGAGGAAAAGGCUUUACUCAUAGCACAAAUAUGCCUUGUUGCACCUGAAUCCACAAUCCAUCCUUUUUUGGAUACCACCGCUAUGAUCACAUCAUCAUCAUCAUUUUUAUCCACCACGUUGGCUCUUGCCUUUGGGUUGGGUCUUUGUUCUCUUCCUUUUCUUUAUCUACAUUUCACCACAAAGUGUCCUACUUUGCCACAAACAAAGCAAACACCUUUUUCCUUUUGGACAUUAGAAGAAGGAGGGUUAAACUUUUUAUUAGAUGAUGCAUGAUUAUUAUUAUUCUUGGAAAAACUUUUAGAGCCUUGAGAACCUUUGGAAACAUCAUGCACAAAAUUAGCUUUUGAAGAAAACUCCUUAGCUUGUUGAGCUUGUGCUAUGUUUCUAUUUUUAUCUUCAAUUUUAAUAUGCACUAUAGUCUCAUGAAGACUCAUAGCCUUUCUCUUUUGCAUGAAAUUUAAUUUAUAAUCUUUCUAAGAGUCAGGUAAUUUAUCAACCAAACUUUGAGAAACAACCUUUUAGGUAAAAUAUUAUUUUCUUUAGCAAGAUCAUCAACAAGUUUUGUAAAUUCAUUUAUUUGCAAAGAAAUGGGAUUGUCAUCUGUCAUUUGAAAAUGAUUAAAAUUAUGCACUAAAAAUCUUUUACUACCUUCUUCCUUCAAGACAUAUUUUUGCACCAAUGCAUCCCAAAUUUCUUUAGCAUGAGAAUAAUGACAAUAAAUAUCAUAUAAAUCAUUUGAGAGAGCUCUUAUGUAGUAUGUCUGUACAACUUAUCGACUAAUUCCCAAUCUUUCAAAACUUGAAUAUAAUUUUCGGUGUCAUUAUCGGAUUUUGGGUUUGUAGGAACAAAAUCAAUAUUACUAAAAUCCAAAACUUCUUUUACCCGAUUUUGCCACCUCUUAAAAUUUUUUUCCAUCAAAAGGUUCAAUCUUUGAAGCAUCGGGAAUAACCUUAGUAGCAGCUAAAAUACUUGUAUCCAUUUCAACCUUUAAGAAUGUUGGAAAAAAAUAUAGAAUUGGAUACUUAUAUUUAGCUAUUAACAAAAUAUACAACUAAGAGCCUAAAUACAGAGCUUUGCAAGGAAGGAACAAUGUUAUCAUGAAGUCGUGCUAGGCACUAUCCUUAAAGGUUGAUUCGCACCUUUUCCGAAACUAUGCUUGGUGCAAAAUGGGUUUCUCAGCAUGGCAACCCUUCAAGAUUAAAUCAUAGGUGUUUGGUGUAGGUGUGCACUCACAUUAUCCAAAUCAAUAACGGAUUGCCUUUGUACUUUCCUUACAAAAUAUUAUUAUAGCCCUCCAGUACUUCUCUAUAUAACGCUAGAGAGAAUGUAGGAAAAGAGAGAUUUUUUAUUUCUUCAAACCGGUGUGUUUAACCUAAAGGGUGAGAGGGAUUUAUAUGCAGAAGGAUGUGGCAGCUGGUUUGGAAACAUAUGCAAUCGAAGGCUUUUUCAGUAACUAAAGUAAGUGGCAAGUGGUCAAAAAUAUUAUAAAUUUUAAAAUAUUUUAUUUUUUAUAAAAAAAUUAUUAAUUUUCUAAUAUAAUUUUUAUUUUUAUUUUUUAAAAAAUAUAAAUAAAUUAUUAAUAAUCAAUUAAAAUUUGAAACAUCCAAUGCACAAGUCACAACAAGGAUAUAUAUUAGCAAGUCCCAAACUGUACCCCGGAGCCAACCUGUUGACACCCCAAAAAUCCAAUCCAUGUCCGAUUCCAGAGAACCGAGCGCGAAUCCCCGAUAACGUGGCGACAGAGCAGCCUUUGCCAUCCCUGUUACAAAGUCCAGUGCUCGGGUCCCCGUUCCCCUCGCCCCAAUCUCCACACUCCCCCAUCUCCCUCGCUCGCUAGCAGGGCGAGAGUGUGUGUGGGUGCGUGCUUCCAAUAGUCUUAAGAAAUGUCGAAGAUCCUUCUUCUGAAACCGCCCCACGGCCGACUUCACGCCGUUAACCACAGCACCAGUCGCAGCGCUCUCUCCACCCUCCUCUCCUCCUCCAAACCCCCUCUCUCCCCACUUCUCCAUAUCUCCCCUUCCCUCCCCUCCUUCUCCUCUCCCCCUCCUCCCCUUCGCCGCUCCUCCCUCUCCUUCCCCCGCCGUAUCUUCCCUGUUCGAGCCCUCGAGUCCUCCUCCACUGCAAGAACCGACAACGAAGACAAGGAGAAGUCCAAGGCCGGGGGAGAAGACGAUGGAGCCCCGCCGUCUUCCUCUUCGACGACCGCCGAGUCCGGGACUGAUGAUGGGGUUUUGGUGGAGAAGGCGGGCUUAGAUGGAGGCCUUCCCACUGGGGAGUUCGAGAUGGAGGAGUUCGCGUGGUGGAAGAGCUUCGUCGUGAAGCUCCGGAUGCUGUUCGCUUUCCCCUGGGAGCGCGUCAAGAAGGGCAGCGUGCUCACCAUGAAACUCCGCGGCCAGGUUGGAUUGUAUUGGAUUGGAUGUUCUUCUUUUACAAACUCACCUCUCUGUUAAUUUAACCCCUUCUACUAUGUUUUCUUAUGUUGGGUGGAUGUCUGGUCUGGAUACUACCUUUCAAAAUUUUUUCAGUAUCAAGCGAUGAGCAGGAAGAAAGAAGAAAUAAAAUAAAAAAAAAAAAUCAAAAUACGUGGAUCAGCCAUAGAAGGGUUCGUCUCCACGGGACAUGCAAACUUCACUAUGAAAAAAAAAAUUUUACAAGAGAAAAUCUCACUCUCAACUCUUGUACACCUAAUUUUCUCUCACUAGAAAUUUCUCUCACAAAAGUUCUCUCUCUUAGAAGACCCCCUAAAUUCCUGAAGUGUCUGGCGACCGCUGUCCAGAAGCCUCUUGCUCCUUGUCUCUCAAAGCUUCUGCCUCUUUUUUUUUCUCGGGUUCCGUACGGCUCGUACGGCGUGAAAAAACCGAACCACUGCUUCUAUUCUCUGUGUACAGAGUAUUUUAUAGACCUUAAUCACGACUUAGACCAUGAUUAGGACUCCUUAAUCAACCCAAAUAAUUUCUGGACCGUCGGAUCAAGAUCGGAAGCCAUCCACGCCGUUUGAUCGUGCUCUGAUCCACGAAAUAGUGUCGUGGACCACGUGAAAUGCGUGGGAAACGCCCACGCGGUCCACAGGCCCNNNNNNNNNNNNNNNNNNNNCCGACGGUCCUCCGCCGCCUCGAGUCUCGUGCCGACUUCAAAAGUUCGUAUCUCCUUCAUCCGAGCUCCGUUUCAGGUGAUCUUCAUUUCGUUGGACUCCAUUUUUCGCCGCGAACCUCGCUGUGGGCUCAAUCUCGAGGCGUCAAAUCCUAAUAUCUUAAGAUAUGGUUAAAUUACAGUUGGUCGAUUAUUGGGGGUUGUUGUGUAUGGGAACAAUUAACAUGUUACGGAGGAAUUCAAGAGCGGAUAUGAGUCUGACAUUGCUAUUCAAUUAUUUGAUAUUAUUUUUUGUUGUCAUUCUAUAUAGAACUUCAUCUAGAAUUUUCUUCUGUCAUAUUCAUAUGAAGAAUGCAAAUUAAUGUUCUUUGCAAUCUGUCAUGGGUUCGUAUUCUUCUUUCUUCUGUCUAGAAUUUUCCUUUUGUUGAAUUUUUCUCCCUUUGUUCUUUUCUUUUUUUGAGUUAUACGUUUGCUUCUAUAAUGUUUGAUAACUUUAAAUGAAAAAAAUAAUGUUUCAUAACCCUCACUAGUAUCUAACAUCCAUAAUUCAUAGAUAAGCUGCAUUGGGGCCAUUAAAACCUUGAGGAGAUAGUACUGUGAUUAAAAAAAAAAAGCAUGAAAUGUUCAAAUUUGUUAUAAUAUUGAAUUUGUUCAUGUUGAUGCAGAUAUCUGAUCAGUUAAAAAGCCGCUUUGCUUCUGGGCUAUCCUUACCUCAAAUUUGCGAAAAUUUCAUUAAGGCAGCAUAUGAUUCUCGUAUAUCUGGUAUAUAUCUUCAAAUAGAACCUCUUAGCUGUGGAUGGGGCAAACUUGAUGAAAUACGAAGGCAUAUACUGGAUUUCAAGAAGUCAGGUAAAUGUGUAACAAUUUACAUUUGUUUACUUGCUACAUUCCACCUUUAUUGAUUAUAGAAUGGACAUUGUUAUUACUCAAUUUAUUGAUAAAAUCAAUUGCUGAUACUUUACAGGUACAUACUGGUGUACGUAUGUUAGUUUUUAUUCUUACAUUGCCAUACAUUGAUGAAAUAACUUAUGUAUAUCUAGCUGUCAUGUUUUUCUUUUUUCUCCACUUUUUUUUAGAUGCGACUUUUAUUGUUAGAACAGAAAUAAUUUGCAAGAUCAUUUCCCAUGGUCUGCUUAUUUGUGCAGAGUGAAGUCAGAGAUACAGUCGGUACAAACUUCGGUAGGUGCUAUUGCUUGUGGACUAGGUGAUGGAGGAAAAAAAAAUAUUUUGUUAUAUUUUCAGAUAUUUUUCUCAGGCAUUUGUAGAAUUACUUUAGCAUCUUGUUUUGAUUAAGAUUGGUGUAUAAGAGUCAUAGUUUAGUGAUAUAUUUGUUUGGAUAAGUUAGGAAAUUAUUAGGAUUUCAAUUUUAAUUGUUCUUUGGAAAGUUUGCAUAUAGCAGAAUUUUAUAUUGACUAAGAGUCUUUUAUGGAAUCAAUCUAUGUGAAAAGAGUCACUGGGUCAUAAUAGAUAAGUCGAAGAGUCCUUCCUUAGGUAGCAAGAAAGUCUUCACUACUUUAGAGCCUAUAAAUGUGGGCCGAUAUAAAUUGAUGAAUUUAUGGUGAUUAUUGAGUUAUUUUUGUGUGGAUGUUUGUUGGCCACGUUUGGCCUUCUCUCCCCACCUUCUUCUGUACUAUUAUUCUCUUGUUGAUCUUCUUUUGUGCUGUGAAUAGAUCAGAUCACUCUCUAUGUAUCCAUUGUUUGAUCAAAUCUGGUUGGAGGUUUUAUAUUGGAUUAUUCAAUUAAGACUUAAGAAACCUUAGGUUUUGAUUCAGCUAAUCCUUCUAUGUGUAACAAACUUUGAAGAAGACUCUUCUUGAACAUCUUGUGCCCCUGAUUUCAAAUUCUGUUGGUAGCUGUCCCAUUUUCAAGUUCUGGACAGAAGGACAACCAGUGAUAGAAGUGCUUGCAGUCCUAAUUCAACACUAUUUUGGGGCCCGACACCUAUUGCAGAUAAUCCCUAAAGUUGUCUUGCAUCACUAAAAGAGUAUAUUUGCUGCUUGGAAGUACAGGAGCUUGAUGAAACUUAUGAGAGAAUGUACAAUGAAAGAUAGGUAGAACAAUGCGAAUGUAGCUGGCCUCUAGAGUUAGGUAGAUGGGUAGGGAAAAUCUGUAACGUUGACCCCAAAAUUUUAACAAUCUAGUGAUGGUGGUAAGCAAGGUUCGCCGAACUGAUGCUGGAGGGUGUAUUGGCCACCGAAUAGUUCGACACAGUAUGGGUCUGUUUAGUACUGUUCCAAGGUGUACGGAAACAGGGAGAGCCGGAGAGGAGGGAGGAGAGAGAGAAAAGAGAGAGAAUUUGAGAUGAAGGGAGGGAGGGGGGUGGAGAGGUUGAGAGAGAGGGCUCAAAAGUUCUCAUCAUUGUCGGGAGGACCCUUUAAUCCCUAGACCUGGGGUUGGGGUCGAGAGAGAGGGAGGGGAGGGAAAGCAUUGAGGAGGGGCAUGCUCAGAGUGGUCAUGAACCCUGAGGGAGGUUGCUAUGAUCACUACAGAUGGGGGGAUGGAGGUCUCGAAAGAUCACGAGUUGAAGGGGGCGACGGGGGUGCUUUUUACCAAGGGUUUUAAUCCAACUGAGCCAGGAGGAGGGUUAGAGCUGAUUUAAUCAAAUGAUAAACCAAGAUUAGAGCCAGUUUGGCCUAUUUACUGAGUCCUAGUUUCCUAUUUGUUUGGUUCACUAUGCCUUAAACCAAAUGAUUCGGGUGGUACGGUGAACCAUGUUGGUGAGUAUCACUGUGUUAACUAGUUGCUUCUUGAAGGCUGCUAGUCCCUAGGUCCCAACGAAGAGUCAACAAUAGUAAGGAAUUGUUGGAAAAUUCUCUUCAAGUGUUAAGAGAGAGAAUCUAUGGUAUGCAUUCUGUGAAGCCAGCCUACCUUGCCUUUGUUGCUGACAUAAUUGUUCAAGGCUUGCGCACAUCAACGGUUGAAAGAGUCACUGUGAUGUUUAACAAAUUAGGAUGAUUUAUAUCAUCAAUGCAAGCACAGGAUAAUCCUUAUUGGCUUUCAACUGAUCAAGUUGUUUAAAAUUAAAAGACUGGUUCAUAAUUAAAGCUAUAUUUCAUGUAUUCUUUGGUGAGAAAUUCAGAAAGAAUGUGGUGCUUCAUUAGUUAAUGCCAUGGUUAUUAGUUAGAACAACCUAACAACCUUACAUAAUGGAAGCAUUGGUCUUCAUGGAAAAUAGGAUUGACUUAAAAGACAUGAGCCAUAGACGUACAGCAUUACACCUAGUUUGGCAAUGUUUUGUUACAUGGUUGCAUUUUUUUUGUUUUCUCUUUUUUUCCUCCCAAUGGCAAAUUGUUAUUUUUCUUUAAGUUUGGGUUCAUAGGAUAUGACUAUAGUUUUUUGCUGGCCCCCAACCUACUACAACCUCCUUUUUUUGUGCUUGGAAUUGGUUAUGUACAAGUAUUAUGCAUUAAGCAUAACAGAUGUGGAGUUAACACAACAUAGGCAGGGUUAAAAGUGAAUCCAAUGCGAGGAUUUGAGCCUGGGUCUCUUGAGUGAGAGCUAAGCAAGGUUUGUAUCCUAAUUGGAUGGCUGAACCGUACCAACAGCCUACCAGUGCAGUUCGGAUGUUUGAUUUGGAACACUGGCGAAAAUGGGGCGAGGGAGAAGGAAAGAGAGGAAGAGGGGGGGCGGAGGGAAUGAGAGGAAAAGGCCGUUGGUGGCCCGCUGCGGCAUCAGAGGGUCAUCGAGGCCUCUGGGGCUUCGCCCUCCUCUGAGAGAGGAGAUUGGAGAUUAGAGGGAGCUAGAGAGAGGCGAGAGGGACAGAAAUGAAGAUAAGGGAAGGUGGUAGGGAGGUCGUCGGAGGGCUGUCAGAUGGCUGUUGAGGCCGUUAGAUGGUUGAAAUCAAUCCCAUGGUGUCCGUGGGGUCGAAACAAGGAUGACCUACCCUUAUUCAUCACGUAAGGUUUUUUUUAUGUGAUGCAUAGUCAAGGUGGCAACCCCAUUGUGUAUCGCAUAAAAAAGAUUUACACGAUGAACAGGGGUGGGUUGCCCUUGUUUCGACCCUACAGACGUUGUGGGCUUGAUUUAGGCUGUCCAGCGGCCUCUUUACUGCCUUCUUCUCCCUCCAUUUCUCUCUCUCCCUCUCAAAUCUCUAUUCUCCUAUUUCAGAGGAGGGUGGCACCUCGGAGGCCUCGAUGGCCCUCCGGUGGCCACCACCGGUGUUUGCACUGGCCACCCUUUCCUUCUCUCUCUCUCACUUCCUCCCCCCUCUCUCUCUUCCUUUUCAUUGCUCCUCCCCCACUUUUGUUCCAUGUUAGUUUGGGCCUAGUAUGGUUCGGUGCUGACCUAUAUCGUCUGCCAAUUGAUACAGUGUUCGGUUUCGAGUCGGCAAACCUUGGAGUCAAGCAUCCCUAGACAAAUGGAUCUAUCACCAGCACGAAGGAGUAAUUUGAUACAUGUAGAAGGAAUAAGGAGCAUAGAGGUAUCUAAAAAUCAAAUGGGAUGGAGUAGUAAGAAAGGACUUUGUAUCUCAACAUCUUUUAAAAGUAUAGCCGUAAACUGAGUUAAAUGGAGGAAAAAGGAUCCAUGUAGCAACCCAACUAGUUUGAGAUUAAGGCUUUAGUUGAGUUGAAUUGAGUUUAAUGGCAUAUUGCUUUUUAUAUUUCUUGUAGUUUUUUACAAAGUCAUAGCUUAUGCUGGUGAAACUAAUUGUGCUUAUAGAAAUAUGUGAUUGUGAUUUUUUAUUAUUCUCAACUUCUUACUUUGUCCCUUGUUUUUUUUUUUUUAAUAAUAAUUUUGAUCUGUUCUGUUUUAUAAACUUUGUAGGAAAGUUUAUUGUAAGCUACGUUCCUAUAUGUGGAGAGAAAGAGUAUUAUCUUGCAUGUGCUUGUGGAGAGCUGUAUGUCCCACCCAGUGCUUAUGUUGCAUUGUGUGGUUUGGUAGUUCAAUCAUCAUUCCUUGGGGGUAAGUUUAUUUGUCCUCCAAAAAUAUGUUAAAUGAUAUGAACACUAAUUAUGCUUGUAGAUUUCUUAUCUUUAUUCACUGCUUUAUUUCUUUCUUUUUUGGGUAAAUGCAUUGAGAAUGCUGUUAUGGUUUUUUCUUGUCAUGUUCAUGCCUUUCUAUGUUUGUAACCACAGAAGAUAAUUUUCUUCUCUGAACAAUAAGAAGACAUUGGCAAAUUAUGUAUUUACAAUAUGUACUAUAUGUCAUAUUGAAUUAAACAUAGAUGCAUUUCCAUUAGCAAAUAAUAUGCAAGAUACACAUAAAACCAAGCGAAAAAGGAUUUUAGUUUAAAAAAAAACUGAAUGUGGUUUUUUGAUAGGGAAUUAACCCAUCAGUGACAAGAAAGCUGUUAUAAGAUUUGCCAUACCGUGCCGAACCGGCCGACACCCCAUCUCGUACCGGACCGGCGGAGAAUCGGCACAAUUCGACCGGUAAAAUCGGUACACCGGCGGUACCGAAGAAAAAAGAACGAAAAGUAAGAAAGAGAGAGAGGGGAGGGGAGGGAGGGAGGUGGGAGCCGUCGGAGGCCGGCUGCAGCCGUCGGAGGGCUUCAGAGCCCCGUAUCGUCCGAUAGGACUUUCAAGAGAGCAAAAAAGAGAAAGAGAGCGCUCGGAGGGGGGACGGAGAACCUACCGGACGGACGGUGCCUCCGUUGCGAGGCUCCUGGUGGCCGGCGAGUCGACGCCGAUGGCCUGAGGGCAGUCGAGCGGGCGGAGCCUCUCCGCUGCUCCGCCCCUUUCUUUUUCGAAACAGGCGACAUCUGUUUCAAUUUUUUCUUUUUUUUUUGUUUUAAACUUAUGAAGUCGGCAAAUGGGUUGCCGACUUAAGAAUUUUUUUUAAAAGAAACAAAAAUCGUGAAGCCGGCAAAUCGUUUGCCAACUUCACUUAAAACCAUGUUUUUUAAAAAAAAUUGCAAAACAGGGGCAAUGCCCCUGUUUCACGCCUGCGGCGCCGCGUGCGUGGACGGCGCUGUCCGACGGCCACGGCGGCUCCGCCGGCUCCUUCCCCUCCCUCUUUUUUUUCUUCCUCUUUCUCUCUCUUUAUUUCUCUCUAUUUCUCUCUUUUUUUCUUCCGGUUUGGGUCAUCGGUUCGGUACGGUAUGAAACCAUACCGAACCGUCGGCCGGCCGGCGGUAUCGGUUCAGCAUACCUUGUGUUAUACUGAAAGCAAAUAGAUGAUUACCUCUUCCUCAAUAUAAAUCAACUGCCAAUGGCUCCUAUUGUAUGUGCUUUUGUCACUGCUGCUCAAAAUUCAGUGCUGGUUCUCUUCUCCACUUCAUAUGGUGGUUUCAGCAAUCUUUUUGAGGCAUCUCAAGGAUUCCUUCUCUAAGUAAUGCAAAGAAGAGUGCAACUUGUCCACUUGAUAAGAAAAAUGGCAAAGAGAAAUGCAUCUUUUCUACUUUGGUAGUAGGUUCUUUAUGUUGUUCCUGUACCUCACAACUUUGCCAAGGGAUCUUAGACAUCCUUUCACUACUAUGAUAUAUUAUUGCUAUGUUGCUCUGCUUUUCUUGCCUUGAUUGGCUUUCAAUUCCAUUGUAGGAAAUUAUUUUCUUGCUAUUUGUGUUUAUCUUAGUAGAUUUUGGUCCUGUAAUAUCUUCUUUCUUUUUGCUUCACAAUGGCUGAGAUAGGUGGGGAAGGAAAACAUGCGAAACAUUUUGUUAAUAUGUCAUAUAAGUUUAAUUGGGCUUCUACGACCAUUUGAGAAGAGUUCCCAAGUACUUGGCAUUUUGUAGCUAUUGAAAAUCUACCAAGCGGACCUACAGGUAGAGGCAGGUAGUAUAUUCUUACAUGUGCAUGUUGGUUUAGCUUUCCUCCUUUUGGAAAAUUUUCAUCUUUUGUUUCUCAUAGUUCUUCCCUUACAUGCUCCUCUAAAUAAAACUUGCAUUUUUCAACAAAAUAGGUGGUAAAAAAUUAUAAUCCUUAGUUUCUGUUUUGAAGGCAUUAUGGCAAGAGUUAAAAAUAGAAAAUUGGAUAGGUUCUCUUGGCUUUAACAGAGAUUCGUCUCACUUCACAUGCUUAUUGUAGCCACUCUUUCCAGCUCUUCCACACUAAUUUCUAGCUAGGAAUGUGACUAUGAGCAUAAUAAAGGAAUUUGACUUCACUUUAUUUUGAUCUUCCUCUUCCUGUUGGUAUCUCCUCACAGUAUCAGUGCUCUGACAUGGCUUGGCAUGAUUUAUAUAAGGCCCCUUUCUCUGUCAAAUCCCACCUAUUAUCACCUAAAGCCCAUGAAAUGUUACUUUGAGUCACAUUCCAGACAAUUCAAUGGAGAUAAUGGAAACUUAUUAUUUAUUUAUUUUUCUCGUGGAUUAUGGGCGGAUGAGGAAAUUCUGACAUUCUCAGAAAUAAAUGGCUUGGUGUUUUAUCCAGGAGGAGUUUGUGAACUGAAGCCAUAUGAAACUUAUGCAGUGAUUAUUAAAAAUAAACUUCUUCAACCGGUUUGCCUGUUUGGAGAGCAGAUUUUCAGUUUUGUUCCUUGUUUAAUUGUGUUGUUUUCUUUUUUCUUCAUUUUAUACAACUUUAGGGCCUUGGAAUUAUGGCUGUUUGGCACCUUCUCUAGGUUGUACUACCUCGAAUGAUUGCAAUUCAGCAACUAUUAACCGUGGAUGCCUUUGCUUGAAAACACAGGUUAACAUCCAAAAAAAGAGAAAAUAUAGAAAAGGAUACCAAAUUUUUUGGUAUAAUGCGUACUAGUUUUAUGUGCACUAAAGAAAGGUUAAAUUAUUAACAUAAUAAAUAGUUAGAAAAAUGUGAAAAAAAUUCAGUAAGUGAAUGUCAAAUGGAAAAAGCAUGCAAGCCAUCAUGGUUGGAUAUACGUUAAUUUGUAGAUGACCAUGGUCCAUCUCCAUUUAAAAACUGAACUGGUUACUCUGUCCAGGUUAUGAGGUUGAUGUGUAGAUAAUAAUAAAAGUAAUCUUAAUGUUAAAUUUGCAUGUAGUUGAAUGUGAUUAUAACUGCAGAUUAAACAUGAAUUCAGUUUUCUAAUUUGACUGGAAUGAGCACUUGUUUUCGCAGGGGUUCUAGAGAAAGUAGGAAUUGAACCACAAAUACAGCGCAUUGGUAAAUAUAAAAGCGCCGGAGAUCAACUCUCACGUAAAAGCAUGUCACAAGAAGUUUGUGAAAUGCUGACUUCAUUGCUUGAUAGUAUUUAUGGAAAUUGGCUGGAUACAAUUUCUUCAACUCAAGGUUAAUUUAUUUAUCUUAUCCAAUUACUGUUGCUCAGUUUUGAAAGCAAGGUUCCUAGGAUGGUUAAUUUUUCUGUUACAGGAAAGACAAGAGAAGAAAUUGAAAAUUUUAUCAACACAGGAGUUUACCAAGUAGAAAGACUUAAAGAAGAAGGCUGGAUAACAAAUAUCAUGUAUGAUGAUGAGGUGCAAAUUUCUGCCUGAGCCAUUAGCCAAGAUGUGAAGCACAUGGAAACACAAAUAUAAAUGAAAACUUUGAUGCUGAAUCUUAUCAUAUGUCAAUAAUUCUUAAUAUUCUCUCCUUGAUAUAUUUUUCUUUUCAAAUGAGUAUUGUUUCUGUAUUAUUAUUAUUAUUAUUAUUAUUAUUAUUAUUAUUAUUAUUAUUAUUAUUAUUAUUAUUGUUUUUAACAUUCCUGUGCCUUGACAUUUCUUGGUUAAAUUAGUUAGCGUCCCGCUCGUCUCCCCAUUUUGCUAAUGCAAAAUACAUGGAAGCAAACACCAUUAGAAAACAAUAAAAAAAAAAAGAAACAUUAUUUCAGAGGUCUAACAUUAUUUCAGAGGUCUAUACACUCUUUGGGGUACACGAUUGAGCAUAUUGUUUGUAAGAUUAUUCAGAUAUAUCUAUAUUGUGCAUUAAGCUUCUAGCAGCUUCACCAUUUAAUGGUGUGCUGGCAGCACUUAAAUCCUUGAACAAUAUACCGAGUCUUGAUUUUGGCAAUGAAGAAUUGAAAGAUCUUGGACAAUUCAGGAUUACUCUUCUCAUUAGGUAUUGUCAAAUCUGUCCAGAAUUGAUUAGUUGAAUGUUGUUAUCCUCCUAAAUUGGGCAACUUCUGAAAGCGGGAUAUGAGAUCAACAUACUAUUUUGUGUCUUAGGGUUUCUUUGUUGGAAAAGUGGUUGUCAGCUGUCUUUCUAACCAAUCUUCCCCAUGCAACUUCAAUAACAAAAGAUUGGCUUAACACAAGAGCACUUGUUUAUGUCAUUGAAUGAUGUCCAGAAUGGCGGUCCCAUUAAUGUGGUGACUUUUAAGUUGAUGUGACAAGUUCUCCUGUUCAAAUUUUGUAGCCCUCCAAUCUGGUGUCCUCUAGAAAAUCAGUCUUUAGAUCUUUGAAGAGCAAUGAUUUGGAAAACAACAACAAAAUGUUAAUGCAAUUGCCAAUUUCCUCGUAAACAGGUGACUCAUGGGGCAGUUAGAAUUUUAUAUAUGUAGGGUAGAACAAGAGUGACCAGAAUCAAUUUCAGACACUUGAACAUGUAGGAUUCACCUGUUUCACAUAUGCAAUGGGUUAAUUUGAUUCACCUAAGAAUGAAAUUGUGAUUUCUGUUAUUGUGAUUGGUGCUCUAUUCAAUAACGUAAGAAAUUGAUUUAUGAGAUAACAAACAGUGACUCCUUAGCAUAGAUAGGGAGAAGUCAUGAUUACAUGGAGAACAUUGAGUCACUGGAUAUAGAUUAUAUGCUUAACAAUAUUAGAAGUUUGUCUUCUUUCUAAUUUUUGACGAUGUAAAUGUUUUUGAUGAAUUUUUAAUCACUUUAAGAUGUUCUAGGUGGCCUAUGAUUGGUCUGGUUGCACAUAUUGUGCUACCAACUGUGGGACAUGAUGAUAUAGUAUUGUAGUUUAGGCCCAAACAACACAGAACAACCCAAUCGACAGAUAGUGUAAGAAGGGAUGAAGCUAAUGAAAUAUGAUUAGAAAUCCACAUUCUUUUACAGCAGCCACCUUGAUUUCAACUCUUUAUGAAACAUUGUCAUACAACUCCUUUUACUUUGGCUGAUGAUAUCCUCUAACCAACUGUGAUAUUACAACUAUUUGUAUUGUUUUUGCUGCAUGGCAAUUGAAUUGGACAACUGAAGAAAUAGACAUAGCUCUAAUGAUAGGAGGAUGAACUGUUAAAAGCUUCUCAUUCCUUUUUGUAGUCGGGUCAGCAUUUUCACAAUAAGAAACUGCCUUUACAUUUUUUUUUCUUGAUCUUAUAAUGCAGGUUAUGUCAAUGUUGAAGGAGAGACUGGGACAAAAGGAUAAGAAAAAUCUUCUCAUUGUUGACUACAGGUAAUCAACAUCUUCAGGAGAUCAUAGAAAGGUAUUGUUGCAGGGAAUUGCAUUUACUGUGAAUUUAAUGUCAUCAUUGUGGUCGUGCUUGUUUUUUAAGAAAAAAAUGAGGUCACCGUGAUUAUUUCUACAGCUGCUUUUUUUUUUCUUGAACAAAUAGCCAUAAUUGUGGUGGUGCUUGUUAAAAAAGAAAAAUUGAGGUAACAGUGAUUAUUUCUACAGCUGCUUUUUCCCUUUUUUUAAAUAAAUAGCCGUAAUUUUCAGGGUUUAGUUGGUUUAUUCACUGGCAACCACUAUUAUGUUCUCCCUGCAUGUUGAAAAUUCCUGUCACUUAUUUUUCCUUGGUUUAGUAAUGUCAUGAAAUCUGAGUCCAAAAAAUAUUGGAGAUACUUUGAAAAGCUAAUUUUAAUGCGUUAUCUAUGUCUUCUUCAGCAUGCUAAGGAUGUGAACUUCUAUGUUCUUUUAUGUUUCCUAAUUAAGUUAGCGGUCCUAACUUCAUCCCAAGUAAAGCUAUAUUACAUGUUUGACAUAUAAGAUCAUUUUCAAUCAUCUUUCCAUAAAAAAAAGUUGAGCUAUAUUACAAACUUAACAUAUAUGACCUUUUACAUUCUUGAGGUAUCAUUUUGGCUUUGGUGACCUUUCGCUCUUGCUAGAAUGUGAUAUUGUUUUUCGGGUAUAGUUCUCCAAGUUUAAAUGGUCCCUAAACUUUAAAAAUCUCUAAUUAGGUCCCUGCUCUUUAGAGUUUUACUUUUGUUUUAAUGUUGUCCUUUUGGCCACUUUCGGCCAAUUUCUAGUUUCGAAAAGUUGCAUGUGAUGUAUACCUGACAUUGUUUUUCUUGCUAGAACCAGUGCCAGCAUCUGGGUGAUGAUGUGGCAUAAUAGGUGGAGAUUAUUAUUUUGAUGAUGUGGCGUAUGGGUGAUAAUAUAGCAUAUGGGUGAUUCUAUGACAUAGCAUGUGCCACAGUGGAAUUUACUGUCCAACAGUAUUCGAUCAAUGAGUGACAUCAUCACCUAUAUAUCAUAUCAUCACCCAUAUACCAUAACUUAUAUUUUUGAUUCUCUAAGUUUCACAAAAGUUUUUGCAUGGUCUUUAUAGUUUAAAAAUCUCUAAUUAGGUCCCUCGAUUUUCAAGUAUGAUCUAAUGUAGCCUUUUCAGCCGAUUCCAGCUAGUUUUUAACAUCAAGAAUGCCCAAAACUUCUAAUUAGGACCCACAUACCUCCCUUCCUCCUCCUUCAUGGCCUUUCCUUUGUCUUUGGCACCCUGCUCCUUUCUCCUCCACUUGGGAUGACCCAACAUCCACACCCCCCCUCCCCAAAAAAAAAAAAAUCUCCCCCUCCACCCUCGGCAACGACCGAGCACCACCACCCUUGUGACAACUCAUCCCCUUUGCCUCCUCAUGCGGCUAUCCUCCUUCCACUUUGCCUUCGCCAUGGCGUCGUGCUUGCUUUGCCUCGACUUCCUCCACUGGGCCCUCGCCCAUUAAAAACAAUUAAAACCGCAUCAAACUUUUGAGCGGUAAGCAAGAUCCUAUUUGGUUUAGCAUAAGUAGGUCGAGCAGAGCCCAUUUGGGCCAUUUUCUUUUUUAGAGCAAUUUCAAGAAUUCAUUCUAGUAUUAGUUCAUGUCAACCAAAUUCCUAAAGUGGAUUCUCAAUGGAUAGAUUUGACUUUGGAUAUAUGAUUACGAGCAACGAAAUUGUCUAAUCUUUUCCUUCCUCCAUAAUUCCUUGGGCUUUCUCUCCUCUCAACUUCCUCUUGGACAACCACAUGCAAGGAAGGCGAAAUCAGAAUUGAGACUUGUGUUGGCUGGCCAGCGGUACGAGUCGGUAUGGUUUCAUACUGGAUCGGACCGGUACAAACCGACAGAGGAGAAAAAGGGUACUGGGGAGGAGAAAAAGACAGAGAGAUAGAGUGGGAGAGAAAGAAAAGGAGGGAGGGGAAGCCAUCAGAGAGACCAUCGGAGGGCUUUCGGCUGGCCGUUGUGGCUGUCGGACGGUGCAAUCGACGCUUGUGAUGCCACGAGUGUGAAACAGGGGCGAUCGUCUUUUUUUCACAGGUUUAUUUUCAAAAAAUCUUGAUUAUAGUGAAUCUGGCAAUGGAUUUAUCUGCUUCACUUAAGGAAAGCCGGCAAACCCAUCGCCAGCUUCACUGUUUUUAAUUUUUCUAAAAAAAUUUCUCAAACAGUAAAGCCGAUAAUGGAUUUGCCGGCUUCAUUAUUCAUCGUUAUUUUUAAAAAAAAUGCAAUGAGUGAACAAGGGUGGUCACUCCUAUUCUGCAGCCGCAGCUCCGCCUGCACAUUUUCUGCCAUCUGGUGGCUAUGGCGGCCAUCCAACACCCUUUGAUAGCCUCUCCGCCAGUGGCAUCCCCCUCUAGUAUCGUCGCUCCCCUCUCUCUCUUGAUUAAUUAUCCUACCAGACGACACCAAGCUACGGAGGCCUCCACGGUCCUUCGCGGCCUUAGCAGGCCAUCGCUCCGGCAGCAUCGUCCCCUCUUUUCCUCCCCUUCUCCUCUCUCUCUCUCUUUCUCUUUCUUUCCCUCUCCAUCCAAUGUUCCAAUUUGCUCAGUUGAACCGUCUCGGUUUGCCGUCGGUACAGCUCAGAAUGUCUUGAACCAUCUGGUUCGGCGAAUGCUGACCACACAUCUCCUACUCUUCUUUGUAUUCUUUCCCAUCAUUUUUUUAAUUGGUUGGGAUUGUCUUUGAUUUGAGUUUGGGCUAUAAAGGAUCAGUCCUACAAUCAUAGCCAUCCAUGUACUGCUGUAAUCUGUGUAUUGCAGGAGGACCAUAAUCCAAACUCUUCUUUAACUUCUUCAAUCUCCUUGCUCUUCUUGUUGAUGCCUAUCAAGAUUCCAUCAUGUAGAUCUUCAAUCUUUUGUGCAAUAUAUUGCAAAUAUCCUCUUGAAACAAUGGCAAAAGUUAGACGGCCAAUCAAGAAAUAUGAGGAAGAAAACCCUAAUUAAUAUCAUACAUAUAACUUUGACUCUCAUCAUCAGUGAGGAAAAACAAACAAUCUGAAAAUAAUAGUUCUUUGUAAAAAAGUCAAACUUCUUCUAAAGCCCAAUGUUUCCGAUUCUUUAGGUCCUUUGUCCACGGUAUUAAACCUUAAAAAUCUAUAGCACCCCUUGCAUCUCUAGAAGUGUUGUUCAUGUUGGGAGGGUUGACAAGUUGCUGGCUCGCCCAAAGAUACUGUUUUUGGCCUAAUGCCAUUGAAUAAAGUUGGGAAGAGGUGGGGCAGCCUCCAAAAUUAGCACGUCAUGAAGAGCUCCCUUCCAAAUAUGUUUGGGGACAUGACGUUAAUAUUAAGAUAUAAAUGUUACAUGUCAUUGGUGGUCAAUCCGUUAUUGCCAAAGCAAUGAAAAGAUGAGCAUUCGGUCCAUAACAGCAUUACUUCUUUGUUUUCGCUUAUAGAAUGUGAGAAUCUUGCUCAUUGCUGAGGGCAGUAGGACAUCUCCCAUCUUCCAACAUUGGUCUUCCAAUACAUGGGAGUUGAUUACAUGGAAGUCCCUUUUGCUAGGUGGUAGGAGAAACUUUUUGUGCAUAUGAGCUGCCCCUGUUUUUUGUUUUCAAAAUCUAGUGUACCUUUGGAACAGAUCUAAGCGGGUGCCUUUUUUUCUGGAGAGUGGAAGGGGUAAAUUAAGUCAGAAACUGGUUGGAAUUGGUUGAAAAGGCUAUGUUAAAUCACACUUGAAAAUCUAGGGACCUCAUUAGAGAUUUUUAAACUAUGAGGAUCAUGUAAAAAUAUUUGUGAAACUUAGAGCAUCCAAAAUAUAAUUUAUGGUAUACAGAUGAUGACGUGGUAUAUGAAUGAUGAUGUGGCAUAUGGGUGAUGAUGUGACACUCAACAAUUGGAUAUUUUUGGGUAGAAAACUCCACUAUGGCAUAUGCUGUGUGCCAUUUCAUCACCCAUACACCACAUCAUCACCUAUGUGCCACAUUAUCGAAAUAAAAAUUUCCACCUGUUAUGCCAUGUCAUUAUCCAUAUGCUGAUAGUGGUGCUAACAAGGAAAAGAAUACCAUGUGUGCAUCACAUGCAACUUUUUGGAUCUGGAAAUUGGUCGGAAGUGGCCAGGGGGACGUCAUUAAACUGCAAGUAAAAUUUCAAGGACCUAAUUUGAGGGUUUUGAAGUUAAGGGACUAUGUAAAAAUGCGACCUAAAGUUGGAGUACUAAAACCAUAUGUUACCCUUGUUUUUAUGUAGUAGGUGUUAGAUGUCUCUUUAUUUGAGAUGAAAUUUUGAUCUCCCCCUUUUUGAUUUAAUUACGCCUAUAGCUUUUAGGGGACAGUUAUGAUUUGGCUAUUCACUUCAUCCAAAUUUUAUACGUAUUGGGGUUGGCUCUUUGAAACCCAUCUUUUGGAUUGUUUUCUUGCACUGGAUGGGCCUGCAUGUUCCAAAUAAUCAUUGCCUAAAGGGGCAAAUGGAGUCAGGGGAACAAAACUCCUAUUAAUUUUCUUUGGUUGUAUGUUUGGCUUAAUGGUCGGGAUGAGUUUAAUUAAAGUCAAUAUUUUAUAUUUUAAUGUGUUCUUAAAAUUGGAGUUUUUAAAUAUUCAUGACGAAAAUAUGUAGGAAUGAGGCCAUUUCCAAGAUAGUGAUGAUGGAUGAAUGGUUUUCUUUCUAAUGUUGGGUCUGUUCCUUUGUCCUUUUUCUUCCUGACUCUUUUUUCUACAUUGAAGCUUGAGGAUUUUCCUCCAUAAUUAGCAUUUCUUCAGCCUGGAAUAUAGAUUUGUUCCAUGCACAGAUGCGCUAGUCUUUUGACUGACAGAUCUGAGUCGAAUUUCAGGUCUAGAUGAUCUGUGGGUUUAAUCAACUGGACCUCCUCUACCUCUCUCACCAUAAUAUGAAUGUGAGCAUGAGUUCUAUGGGUAUAUUCUUGGACCAUUAUUCUUCAGAGUCUCAUCUCCUGACAUUUGAGCCCACACCUUGUAUUCAAGACCGAUUCACAAAUCAAAAUGAGCCACAGAGGUUCAUUUUAUCGGUGUUUUGCAUUAAACUAAUGUUCAUUCAAUCGCUCUCUUUAUUAGAUGACCACUAGUUUAACAUAAUCACAGCAGAAUUAUUACACUUAUUUAGAAGAUUUUAAGGUUAAUUUAUUCUGAUCAGGCAUCCAAACAGGUCAUUUUUGACCAAAAAUUUCAUUGUCAUGAUAUUGAAAUGUCGCAUGCCUCUUUGUCAGUUCAAACUUUGAUAACUGUGCAUGACUUUAUGUGAGUUCUGUUUCAUCCUUAUGUCUUAGUAAAUUAUUUCUAAGAUAAAAUCUAUUUUCUUCAAAACUUGCAUCUUGAACUUCAUUUUUUGGACAAGCAUAGUUGUAAAGAGAAUGAUCUCAGGCACAUUGUUUCAUGAAAUUUACCCUAUGGGAUGAUGUUGAUGAAUGGGACAUUCUUAGAGGGCUUUUAGUAUCUAAACAAAUGAUAAGCAGCAAAGAAAUAUUAUCUAGUUCACAAGAUGGAACACAGCAUCAUCAUGUGAAUGAUUUAAAAUGAUUCCCCUGAUAUUUGCUGUAUGCUGAGUUACUAAGAAAAACACCAAGUAGAAUGUGGAUUGAGUCUGAUUUCUCUUCAUAAUCUUGCUUUAUGCAAUUUCAAACAUGGUCUCAAAUCUUAGUGAGACGUCAUUGGGACGAUGUACCGAUCUGAGCGUCAGGAUACGACCGUCCCUGUCAUUAUCCCAGCAUCCUGAUCGACAUGUUUUGGAACAUCCUCUAAUCCAAGUGCUGGGAUGGAGCAGUACAGCAUUGUGUCCCAUUCCAUGGGCAAACCAGGACAGCCCUGUCCCAUGGGACUUAAAGCAUUGAUUUCAAAUAAUUUGCUGCUGCAAUAUCAUAUCUAUUUGGAGUCAUUUCCUUUCAGAAAUUGUAUUAUGUUAGCUCCGGUAUUCAUUUCAUUGGUAUCUAAUUUGAUUAUAUAUAUGUAUGUUUGUAUGUAUGUAUGUAUGCAUGCAUGUAUGUGUGUAUGAAUGUAUGUUAUUUUCUGGAUCUACUGGUUAUGAACUGUAUCUUAUGCCAAUGCUCUGAUACUUUAUUUGUCUCUAAUUUAUUUAAUAGUUUCAUAGCCAAAAAAAAAAAGGAAAAAGAAAAAGCCAUGGCAUACAUAUAACAUACAACAUACUACAGCUUAUGGGUUACCAAAUAAUUUUUAUGCAAUUAUAGGCUUUGGAUGAUAAGGUCCUUGACUCCUUGUAAUGUAUGAGCAAUUUCUUAAUAUCACUGUAGGAUUUCGUUGUUGCUUUGCUGGUUAAACCUAAACUUUCACUUGUAACUGUGACCAGCAACUACUCAUGGUAAAAAAUUUGAAUAUGUUUCUUUUAACUUUAUUCCAUGCAGCAUAGAUAUGAUAAAUGCAGUCUUCGUCUGAACAUUUUACUGUUGGUAAUUGAACAAGGGUUACUGAACUUUCUUUCUUUGUUUCUUAACCACAGUAAAUACUCUAAAGUAAGAAAAUGGACACUUGGGUUGGAAGGAGGAAAAGUACAAAUUGCUAUAAUUAGGGCUUCUGGAAGCAUUAGUCGUACUCGUAGUCCAUUAAGCAUCCCUAGCUCUAGCAUUGUUGGUGAACAACUAAUUGAGAAGAUCCGUACUGUUAGAGGUUGGUGUACUUGCUGUCCAGCUUUUAUAUAUUGCAUUGACAAUUAAUCUGUUAAUUGCUGUGUUAUAUUAAAUCAUCAAGAUUCUGUUGUGCCUGAUGAUUCCAAAAUAUUGCAGGAGGGGCCUUACAAUUGGCAUGAUGUUAUUGCAAUUGAAACUCUUGUAGUGAUACAACUGAAAGGAUUAUCAUUGAUCAACUCUAUUUUCUACAAGCUUUACUUUUUUUCCUUAGGACAAUGGCAUUUUAUGCACUUUACUAGGAAAUGUACUGGCAUCUUUUGCACGUCCGCUACCAUUAUCCUUGCCAAUUUACCAACAUAUAUAUAAUGUUAUAAAUAGGUAACAUCUUGGGUAAAUUUUAAUUGGAAAGAUGCUUUUAGUCAGUGGAUUAGUGCAUAGAGCUGUCUGAGAACUAGCAUGAGCAUAGCCAAUUAUGUGUAAGCAAUCAGAAUGCCAAGGUAGUAGGAAGUUGAUAUGAGAACGGCUAAUCAAGAGCUACUAGAAAUCAUUAGUACUUUUUGCAGAACAUAAAUUUGCACAAGUAGUGCAUAAAUUAGUCACAUCAUAUAGGAACUGCAAUCAAAAGGUCACAUUUGACUACACUGUUCUUCUCUCUUUAUCUAUUGUCUGUUUGAAUAUUCAGACGUGAUAUAUGGAUCUGCCUAAUUUUGUGGCACAGACAGUUCAAUUAUUUCACAUUUAGUAUGUUAUCUUAAUUUAAGGAAAAUGUCUUUUUUACUUUGUCGAUAUGGUGUCUGAUGUUAUCUGAUAUUUUCAUACCAACAAGAUUCUUGAUUAACAUGGCUUUUAAUCCAAUUUUUAAAUUUGUGGCCAACUAAUGCUAGAAUACCAUCCAUGUCAAAAUUGCCAUGAAUGUGAAUAAAUCAAAUUAUUAUUUUAAAAAUAAAUAUUGUUGUCUUUGCUAGAUUUUCAGCCUGACACAUUUAGCACAAGGACUGCCCAAACAGUCCUUCAGCCCCCAAUGACAAGACACUUAGAAGUCAAACCUCCAUAAAUGAGCAUGUCAUUUUCCAAAACUGCCAUUUGAAAGGAAGAAAAAUUAAACAUAUAAAAAGAUAGAAGGACAGAAAUGCCUACUAUCAGUUACCAUGAGUCAUAUCUAUAAUACUCCCAUCAUCCAGCCUUCACCUAGGGGGGGGGAUGAAGAUGCAGCUCACUGAGUAGUGUUUUUUAUGUGUAGAUGAAAGAUAUACAGAAAAGAGGUGCGAUUUGCUAGGUUGAUGUUUUUCUCCAACGAAAAAAUAGGAAUCAGAUGUUGGCCCACCAUGGUGCUCUGAGGAAAAAUUAUCUUGCAAAGAAUUUGAUGUCCCUGUCAAAUAAUUGAAUAGUGAAUACAUGUCUAGUUUCAUGGGAUUAAAAUAAAAGCUCACAAGUUUCAUGGUAUCAUAUUGACACUCUGCAACUUAAAAUAUUUAUUGUUUUGUGAUUUAAUUGUGCUUUUAAAUAGGCCCGCAGCCCAUUAUUGGCAUCUACAGUCAUCAGUGAUCUCAGCCAACAAGAAUUGGUUGUUUCCUUUAUUUUGUUUCUUUUUUUUCUGUAUCCAUUUCUCUCACGUUUUUUCUUUUUUCUUCAUUAGUGAUAUUAAACAUGAUCCUCAGAUCCUGUCUACAAAUGACAAGCUAAACUUAAUGUUUAUUGAUCAAAUGUGAAGAUUUUACUUUCGGAGGCACUCCAAGUUCCUCAUUAUCUAGAACUGUCACUUUGCACCCUGCGAUGUUAUUUCAUCUGGCUUUUCCACCUGCUUCAUACAACUAUGCUUGUAUAUCCUUGUCUCCACCAAAAAAUGAAAUUCAUUAUCCUAUUCUGGUAGUACAAGAUCAUCUUGAUCCUUGGUGUUUUAUUGUGGUGGUUCAAGAUCUUCCUAACCCAUCUUUAGUUUCUCGAGGGGCCUCCCUGAGUUCUAAACAUUAUAAUUCUUAACUUUGUUGCAGGAUUCGUUUAGGGCCUGUUUGAAUGAUUGGGCUGAAAAUCUUAUAGGAUUUGUGGUUGGGCCAAUACAACCAGCAAGAUUACAGAUUGGGCUGGCUUUAUUUUCAUAAAUACCUAGGGAUAGCUUUAGAGUGGGUCGGCCCAAAUCCCAUAGGGAGAAAAAAAAGACCUCAACAGGUCUUUCUCACCAGGCCCUUAGUGUGAGGGUGGCCUAUAGGGAUGAAGUAAAUUCUGUUAUCUUUUCAUGAAUUCACUAACAGACAAUCUUCUAGACAGAAACCAAAAUGCAUAACCAAUUCCUAAAAAUCUAGUUAAUAUACUCUGCUCCAAAAAAUUUACUUAGUUACCACCAGGGCUUGUUGGUUGCAUAUACAUGUUAUCGAAAAAUUUCAUAGUUCAUUUUAUGAUCAGUUCAACAUUAACACCGGAAGCAUUACUCUGACUUUAUCUAGUAAAUUAUUCUACAAUUUUUGUGGAAACUAAUUGCUACUGCCAAAACUGUUUUAUCUUAAGAAGUGAUCUGAGUCUCACUCUUCAAAAUCAUUAUUCAUGUUCUAGUUCUUUGUUUUCUAUGAUUUGAAUUAAGCAGUUUCUUCUUUCAGACACACAAAAGUAUAAAGCUGUUAUCUUGCGAAUUGACAGUCCUGGAGGUGAUGCUCUUGCUUCUGAUUUGUAAGUGGUAAUUAAUAGCUCAUGUCUCUUUUCAUGAUUGACAUAGGACUUGCACAAACUAGGAGCAAUAUUUCUUGAUUUCAGGGUUCAGCUUUAACAAUCUUGUGUCAUAUGCUGUGCCUUUGAACUGGACUGGUCUAAGUUUGAUUAGUAGGAGAAUUAUGGUUUUUUUUUUUUUUUUAAAUUCUUUUGUAGUUAUUCGACUUGAUUUCUAUUUUAUUUCUACACCUUUCAUUUUUCAAAUUUCUUGAGUUUUUUUUCCUUGUAUCAACCCCCUGCCCCCUCCUCCUCCUAAGACACUUUUGCCUACCAUACAAAGUGUAAUUGUUUGUUUCUUGGAUUUCAACUUACUGCAAAAAGAGGUAAUGAUUUAACUUUUCACCAUUGUUCCUAAAACCAAUGCUUUGCUAAAUGUUGUUGACAUACAUUUUGGUUGCAUGCAUGGUUCUAGAUGCAUUUUCAUUUUGAUAUUAUGCAUGCUACAUUUCUGUUGUGAUCUACAUUGUAGCUUGAUUUUCUAGAUGGAUACUUGGUAAAAUUGGUAAACGAAUUCUAAGACUAGAUGUUAAAUUACAGAAGGGACGAACAAAGUGCAAAAUGUGAGGGAAUAUCAAUCUUAAGGGUGCUUGCAAGUAAGGCUUGAUGAGUCAACUUAUGGGAGCUGGUGCUAGAAACUGGGGUUGAUUAGCACAGCGGAAAUUAAAAUUUUGUGAUCAUAAACACAGAAGAGAAUUAAAUUUUUAGAUCAAUAUGAUGCGAGAUCUCAUCUCGAAUCAACCCCUGAUCCCUCAUAGUUGUUAAGAUUAAGAUUAAGAAGAAGAAGAGCAGAUUUUCAUUUUUGCGUGGGUAGUUCUUCACCGCAAUCUGAUAAUUGUGGAUGUCUUCAUGGUUCCUUUGAAGUCGCACAAGCGUCCGGCCUCUACAGGUAUUCACACAGAAAAGAUCAAGAAUUCUUCCUAAUUAUUUUGAUUUCUUUCACAAGAAAAUCAGUACGUAGAAUUUUGUUUGCAGCCUUUGAUCAUGCUUCAAUUCUUGGUCACUAGAUGCAAGAAAGGAAGAAAGAAAAAUUUUUUUAAAAUAUCCAAUUCCUUCGGCAUUCUAGCUUCAGGCAUGAGAGAAAGGAGAGGCAUGGAGAAGAAUCUGAAAUAUGAUUUCUUUCUUUCUUACAAAAACUCCCAUGUCACAUGUUAGAGCCCAUAUAAAUAGGCAGCAAUCCUUCACACCAUAAAACUCUUAGGCGUCCAAGAGUUUAACCAUAACUUAAAACUCCUUAUCACAUAAGGAGAUGGGGUGCAAGAUGGACUCUCUAUGGUCUUGAACUCCUGCCAAACGUGGAUAAUGGUGCGUGAGAAGGUGGUUGGUGUCAAGAGGUUUGUUACGUGAACAUAAGAGGCGCUAGGAGUCCUUCAGGUGGAACUUCUUGGCACCUCCUACCUUCCCACAUGAAGCCUCCUUUUAGGUGGAAACGUGGUGUACAAAAAGGGGUUUAAACGAGUUGGCAUUUGGGCUUGAAUGUGAGAUCCAAUCUCAUAUCAAAAAGGAGUCGUAGUCCCAUGAGGUUUUGAUCAAAUCAAAUCUUUUGAUUUAGUCCAACCUUUUUAAUUCCUUAAAUCCUUAUUUGAAGCGGGUAUCUAUUGUGUUAGGGGUGGUUUUACCUUUUGAAAUGGUAGCAUGGUUUGACCAAAGAAAGCACCAAAAAUGUGAAAUAUUGCAUUUUUGCCUAUUGUUGUUCGGGUUUGGAUUAAGGAUUUGAUUAAAAAAAUUAUAGAACAUUUCAACAGUUAAGAAAAGAAAAAUAUCAGAAUCAAAGGAAGAAGGAAUUAAAAGGGUUAGACUAAAUCAAAAGGUUUGAUUUGGUCAAAACCUUGUGGGACUAAGACUUCUUUUUGAUAUGAGAUUGGAUCUCAUAUUCAAGCCCAAAUGCCAACUCAUCUAAAUCCCAUUUUGUGUGCCAUGUUUCCUCCUAAAAGGAGGCUUCAUGUGAGAAGGAAGGAGGCGCCAAGGAGUUCCAUCUGUAGAAGGACUUCUAGUGCCUUUUAUGUUCACGUAACAAACCUCUUGACGCCAAUCACCUUCUUGCACACCCUUGUCCAUGUUUGGCAGGAGUUCACAUCUAUAGGGAGUCCAUCUUACACCCCAUCAUCUUAUGUGAUAAGGAGUUUAAGUUGUGGUUAAACUCUUGGACGGCCAAGAGUUUUACGGCGUGAAGGAUUGUUGCCUAUUUAUAUGGGCUCUAACAUGUGGUGUGGGGUUUUUUGUAAGAAAAAAAGAAAUCAGAUUUCAGAUUUUUUCCAUGCCUCACGCUUCUCCUUUCUCUCUCUCAUGCUCGUAGCUAGGAUGCCCAAGGAGUUGGAUGUUUUGAAGAAAUUUUUCUUUCUUUCCUUCGUGCAUUUAGUGACCAAGAGUUGGAGCAUGAUCAAAGGCUGCAAACAAAAAUUUUGCAUGUUGAUUUUCUUGUGAAGGAAAUCAAACUAAUUGGAGAGGAUCCUUGAUCUUUCCUGUGUGGAUACCUGAAGAGGCCGGACGCUUGUGUGGCUUCAAAGAAACCGUAAAGACAUCCAUGAUUAUCAGAUUACGGUGAAGAACUAUCUGCGCAAAGGUGAAGAUCUGAUCUUCUUCUUCUUAAUCUUAAUCUUAACAACUAUGAGGGAUCCGGAGUUGAUUCGAGAUGAGAUCUCGCAUCAUAUUGAUCUGAAAAUUUAUUUUUUUGCUAUGUUUAUGAUCACAAAAUUUUAAUUUUCGCUAUGCUAAUCAACUUUAGUUUCUAAAAGUGGUAUCAGAGCACUUGAUCUCAUCAGGGUGUUAGCAUCCUUGUAGAGAUUCUUUUUGAUGAUGGAUUUAUUUUUUCUUUUGUUGAAAAUUCUUUUCAAGGAUUUCUGUCUUUUUUUUGUUGAUCAUGCUCCACACACGAACGGAUUUGGAACCUUUUUUGAUUCUUUCUUGAUUUCUUUCUCAGGAAAAUCGAACUCAGCCUUUUGAUUUUCUUCUCAAGAAAAUCCAGCUCCUCUUUUUCUUUUGCUUCCCUUCCCUUUUCCUUUUGGCAUGCACCAAACUCUUGGGUGUGGCAUCCAACUUGUUUUUGGGCAUCCAAGAGAGAGAGAGGGGAGGCGUGCUCAAACUAAAAUAAAAAAUAAAAUGCUUAUUGAAUAAGGAUUUCUAAUGACAUGGAGAAUCUAGGGUUUAACCAUGUGCUAGCAUGAUAAUCUAAAAUCUUUUAGAAUUUCACAAAUUCUAAUUUGAUUAGGACUUCUUCAGUCUAAUCUUAAAUCCUUGAUCUAUUUUUUUGUGUGUGUAAUCUCAUAGGUUUUAUUCUAUCUGGUAGUGAGACAUUGUGAUCUCUAUCACGAAUAUCAUUGAAACUUCUUUCAAUGGAUUGAAAUAAUUCCUACUCAAUGAGAAUUAUUGAUCAUCAAAAUAAUUCUCAUGAGUCACAAUCCAUCAGUGAUGCCUGGUAGUAUGUAGUGGCAUGUCAGCGGAAUGGAAUAAGUGCACUUCUAGGUGUAGUUACCGUGUGAUUCAGUUCUUCCAUUGCGAGUCCCAAUAAGAUGGAGAUUAUGGAAUUUCUUGUCAAACCUCAUCGUUUGUCAUAUGUCAAAUUUAUUUGACUCGAGUUCUUGAUGUGAAAAUUAUGAAAACUCUUUUUCACUAUUCACACUAUCCUGAUCAAGAUUUUUUGAACUCGGUCUCAUAAAUCACAUAAGACUAACUUCUUUAUCUAUCAAGGACGAUAGAUCUCAUAUAGGUGCAUAUCCUAUCAUACAGUGAACCUACUGCAGUCAAUAUGCACCGCAAGGAUCCAUAUGGCUAGGGAUCAAGUGUAUGUACAGUCAAACUGCAGCUAUCCUAUUGUGAAUAGCCGAGGCACCGUAGGUCGAAGAACUAGUCAUACAACUGCAACAUCGAGCAAGUCACUGAUGAGUGAGUAGACAUCCAAGUGACUUCUUGUAUAAAUCACACUCAGUACUCUUGUUAUCUAACAACGACCUGCACUUGCUCCAGUAUCCCCACACUAUAGACUCGAAAUUCGUCUAGCCUAAAGAAAACCGAUCUAUGCACCAAUCUAUUCAGAUCAAUCACCGUCCCCACGAUGAUCCAUCGAUCGUGAACUUUUAGGAAUUAAUUAUCAAUGACAUAUACCUCAAAUUCUCAACUCUUGAGAAUAUGUGUCAUCAUCUUAUUAAUUCUUUGGAUGAUUUAUAGAUACAUAUACAACAUGAAUGAAAUAAAUAAUCCAAUUUCAUAGAUAUCAAAUACAAAAUUAUGUCCUAGAAUAAUUAUGUGUUAGCAUGAUUGGCUUCUAAGACAUACAUCUAACAAUUUGAUAGCAAAAGUAGAUGCAGAUUUUGCCUGUUUGAAUAUUUUUAGGUGCUUGUAGUGGCAAUAAUGCCUUGAGCAAUAAAUGGUCAUGCAAAGAUUGUGUAAUAGAAUGGAACUAAGAAGGUGAUGACCAAGGUUUAAAUCUGCAUCUGGUUGCCAUAAUAGAUUCGUUGUGGUGUACUGAUAUCUAUCUGUACACUGCAAACCCAUGGUAGAAGAAAAAUAAAAAGAUAGUACGAUCAUAACCUCUGAUAGUGGAAAAACUGAAAAGCAAGCAUAAUAAAGAAAAGAAACUUAAAGCCUUAUUUCGAUGUAUUUUUAUUGUAGAUGAAAUAAUAAAUCUGGCACAGAUGUUGACAUUUCUCAUCCACUAGUGGAUUUAAAAGCGUAUGCAAGAGAUAUAUAAAUGGGUUCAUAUGCAUGUAAUGCAGUCUACGCCUUGUAUUAUUUACUUGAUGCAUGUAAAUCUUUAGAUGUCCAUUCAUAUUUAUUUGUUCUCUUAAUGUAUGAUGUUGCUUUAUGCUUAAUGUUUUAACAAGUUUUAUUGAAGAUUUUCUACUCCAAGAGUCAAAUGGUUGUGUUUUUGUUUAGUACAGGAUGUGGAGGGAGAUCAAGCUUCUUGCUGCCACUAAACCUGUGAUUGUAUCAAUGGCUGAUGUUGCCGCAAGUGGUGGAUAUUACAUGGCUAUGGCAGCAGGAACAAUUGUUGCUGAGAAGCUUACUUUAACAGGUUCAAUUGGAGUUGUCACAGGUGAAUUUGAUGGCUUGAUCUUUCUUGUGGUUAUUUACAGAGAUGCUGCUACACUAGAUAUUGGAAUGCCUGUUGCUGACUGGCCUUUCCUUUUGUGGAAAUUUGUGCAUCAAAACAUUCUUUUUGGACAAAAAUUUACUGGGGAUAAAAUCAUCAUCUAAUCUGUGAGAUUGUCUUUCAGUCUAACUAUGGUUGGAACUCUUUAUUGAUUUUCUUACACCUACUUGGUACUAUUUUUCUACCUAUUUUUUAUGCUAUUAUAUACUUGCUUUAUAGUUGACCUUUUCCUUCUUUUUAAUUUUGAGAUAGAAGGAGAGAGGUCAUGUUGUAUUUAAAAUUACCUAGGUCAGAUUUCUUGGGGAUAGACUGCCCAAGACUCGAGUGUGAGACUUCUGCUUUUAAGGUGAAGAGAGAUGACCCUGCAGCAAUGCCCAAUUUAACCUUUUGUGACUUGAAUUUCCCUUUAGUCCUUUUCUAUGGAAAUCAGGUUUUUGAAAUACGAACUACAGUAAGGGGAGUUAUAUAUUGCUGGUUUUGUUUUGCAUCCGGUCAUGUCCUCCCCAUUUUGCUCUCUCUCCCCCGCUCUUCAUCUUUUUUUCUUCAGUCCACUUACCAUAUGGAUCCAAAUUACCACCAUGGUAUUAAUGCAAAAACAAAGGACAUCAGGUUAAACAGGUUUUUUAUUUGACUAGAAAAUAUUCCAAGUGAAAUAUGAUGCAGAGUUUUUUGUUGAUUGAAGACCAAACCUUCUUUGUGUAUUAUUUUAGAAGUGGCAAAUUCUUGAAGACGAAGUGAAAAAAAUUCUUGUAAACCUAAUAAUUGAGUGGAUACCAAUAAGCGAGGACAAGGCAGACGAGCUGAUGUGGCAUCAAUUGGGGACAGCUUGCAAGGACAUAGUUGGACUGAGGAAUGGGAUUUAACUUGGAUUAAGAUUGAUCAGAUUGUUUGCUGCCCUUAACUUGUAUAUGGGACAAAAAUGAUCAAUCUUUGAAAUUAAGAUCUAAUAAAAGGUCAAAAAAAACCUUCCCUAGAGUUUUUAUGUUGAGAAUGAGCAAUUAAGGCUCUCUAGGAUUUUAGGCUAAACAUUUCAGAAAGAAUCUGCAAGGUUUCUGUAAGUAAGGUGCACACAAAAUUCAGUUUAUAUAUUUAACUACAUUUGCAUUUGCUUGUGUGUACCCAUCUUCUUCCUUUGUAACUGAGCUUAUUUUGAUAAAUUCUCUGUUGAUAUACAUUUAGACAACCCACUUUGUUGAAAUCCGUUGAAUGACAUGGUAAUAACUUCAGAUGCUAAAGGCAGAUUGCAUGUGAUAAACUUAGUGUGUUUAGAGAGUUCUAUCUUUUUGUCUGUAUACUUACAAACUUGUUUUGAAAGCUGUGGAUUCUGACACAGUAUAACUUGCAGGGAAGUUCAGUUUAAACAAGCUUUAUGAAAGGAUUGGCUUUAAUAAGGAAAUAAUUUCAAGGGGAAGAUUUGCUGAGCUUAAUGCUGCUGAGCAACGUCCUUUUAGGUGAGUAUCUGUUGCUUUUAUAGCUGCUAACUAUUGUUACCAUUCAGAACUGGUAGCUAUUGUUACCAUUCAGAACUCAAACCUGAUGAGAGGAAAAAAGUUAAAAUAAAAACUAAAUCGAUCAAGCAUCCCAUGUGUCUGCAGUGAACUAUAUCUUAUAUGUUGCCAUUGCAGUAUGGCAGAUUUAACCCUAUAAGGACAAUGGGCCAAGUAAAAUGUUUGUUGGUCUAAAAUAUCAUCUAAUCCACCAUAUUUUUUUAGUUUUGGGUUAGAUGGGUGUUUUGGCCGUCAAGAUUACAGGUGAUGAUCAAUAGACAGUAGUGAGAAAGCUCAAGAGCCUUAGGGUGAGCAGUGCAAUGAGGGAAAAAUUGGUGAUAAGAAGCUCCACUGUUGUCUGAAUAGUAUGUGCAUCAAAAAAUAGACACAUUGAGCUAAUAAAGUUGAAUGUGCAUUGCUGCUGCAUUACAAAUAACUUGAGAUUAAAAGCAGCUUUAAUUUACUUGAAGCAUCCAGAAUGUUUUAACCUGAGCAUGUUGUUUUCACUAAGCGUUGACAAAGCCAUAGUCUCAGCAUUAAUCAUGUUUUCAAUAGGAAUUACUGAAUCUUGCUGCCAAAGAAGGUACCUGAGGCCAUCCUGCACUCAUGUUAAAGAUGUGCUUCAAAUAAUGAUUUAAAAUAUCAGCGUGGCAAUCAUUGUAUUGUCUUCGUAGGGUGAGAAAAGUUGUUAUACAAUGGACAAAUACCAAGUAGAUAUAGCAUUAUCAUGACAUCUAAAAAUAAACCAAUUUUGAGGAAUGCAUGAUGAAGCAACUCAAAUCUUGCAGUAGGGGCUCGCCAUAGGCUGUUGAUAGCAUAAUGUAUGAUAGAGAUAUUGUGGGGAGGAUAAGGGAGGGUAGGAGGCUUCAUGUAAACCUCCUUAGAGAUCACUUAAGAAAACAUCCUAGUCAAUGCCAUAAUUUAGGCAAAAGCUAUGAGAUAGUAGACAGAUAUUAUGAAGCUUUAUCAUGCCGUUAUAGCAAAUUUGGAAAUUCAUAGACUCAAUUAGGCAUGAUGGAAAACCUUUCUGGAGGGAGGAGAAGAGAUAGCAGUGGUGAGAUUGCCCAACACUGUGAACCAUUGGGUGCAGUUCUCUUGGUAGGCCUAGUGAAAAUGAUUGAUUGUGGGAUGAAAAUGGAGCAAUGGAAAAUAAUUGCUCUUCUUCAAUCAUUCGUACAAGCUAGUUGCCAGGGGGAAACCACAUUGUUGGUAUAAUCUAAGAAUUUUGAAAACUCGGGGCUUUAUGUUGAAGAGUAAAAUAAAGACUUUUGCCAGUGGACUAGAGGCAUGUCUGUUAUUGCUUUUGCUUGAAAGGGCUUUCUGUAAGGCAUUUCACUGGAUCUACCUUUCAGAUAAGAACUUUUUCACUUGUUUGAUGCUUGCUAACACAUGACAUUAAAGCAUUUUCUAAAUCUGUUUGGUUUUCGGUAUGAUUAUUUAUAAUUUGGAAGGUUUAAAUCCAAAUUAGUUGAUUAAAUUUUACCUAAUUUAGGUGCACCUUAAUGAAUGCAACUGAUUGUUCUUGUGGGAAUAAUAUAUGGUUUUUCAUGUAAGCAGGAGCCAAAAACUAGAGGCAACUAUUUAGCUUAUGUGAGAAGCACUCGUUAUUGAAUGUUACCAAACUCUUCUUUUUGAACCAGUUCUUUAGGAAAAAAAAAAAAAAACAAGAAUUGCUCUUCUUUAAGCAAUGCCAAACAAGCCAUUGGUUUAGUUAUUAUUAUUAUUAUUUUCUUUUCUCUUUUUCAUUGUUUUAGGCCCUUAGGUAGUUCCAUUCAAUUGAAAAACUAACUUGCUUCCACAUCUAGGAUUUUACAAGGAAGCACCUACCAAUCUCAUAUAUUGAUCUUGAAUUUGGCAUGACUGUAUCUGCAAACCGAUCAAUAUGCCAAUUUAUAAAAAAAUGAAACUUCUGCAAGUUAUGCCAGCAGCUGAUCCUAUGUUUCAUUACUGCAUCAAAACUUAGGACUUAGGAGUCUGUUUACCCCCAAGCUCUAAUCAUGAUUCUUUGCCUUUUGGCUCUAAGCUGUAAAACUAUGACAUUGCAUGAGAUUCUGCCACAUAAAAGGCACUUCUAGUGAGUAGCGUUCCAUCGAAGUUCAAUAGAUGCAUAACAAUGCAGUUUUGGAGAUGCUGCUCGUCCAACUCUACAUUUUUCAGUGACUGAAGCAUUAGGGGCUUAACAAGACUUGGGUCAAGCCAUUCUAUGACUUGUUUGCUUCUUGCUUCCUUGACUAGAAUCCCCCACGUAUAAUUGCAUAGGCACCUUACAUCCGUGGGAGUUUACUGGUCGACAAUCUUUCUUAUCCGAAAGCUUACAUCUCACGCCAAGUUGUCUGACCUGCAUAUAGUUUAACUCUUAGUUUGGAUGCCAUAACUUGCAUUAAAUUGUUCUUGCUCAGGUUCUCUAAUGAUCUGUCGAGGUUGGACACUUGUGAUGCAAGUAUAGAACUCUUUUUUCUUUUUUUGUUACAGGCAGAUGCUCACACUGAUCUAGCAUGAAUAUGCCCCAAAAGAUCAAAAAACAAAAUAUCCUAAAGAGCAUGUGGGCAAGUUUGACCCUGAUGCUAGAUCCAGUCGCUAGUGUGUUCAGCUACAUAGGAGGCGACCCAUUUAGCGGUACUAUUUGUUUUUUGGAAGACAUGCUGAACAGAGACCGUAGUGAAGUCAUGAAGGCAGGUCCGGAUAUCCUAAAGUAGAUAGGCCUCUGCUUGCAUCGUAUCACUCUGAAUCCAGCCUAUCACGAUAGCAGAGUCACCCUUAAUAAUAAUCCUCUUUGCUCGCAGUUUCUAUCAGACAGAUAAUGCCAGCCCAGGCAGUGCGGAGCUCAGCACCUAAGAUGGAAGGGUCAAAGAGAAGGGAUCCCUCCAUAGCUAGUAAUCUCGCAUCAGGUCCUUAGAUGACAAAGCUAACACCUCCCCUACCAUCGCUCACACUAUCGUCGAAAUUUAUCUUGACACGACCCGAUGGAGGGGCUCCCAGAAAAUAAAAAUAACCCUUUGGGUCGCUACAGGAGCAGUAUGGGCACCCUAGGAAUUAGAAGUAUCAAGGUGGAUCCCGGCAGCGUCGAAGCAGCUGUACUCUGCGGCCAAAACAAUAGGCCCUCUCCAACACGGUGGGCUGAUAUCAUCUUAGCUUCAAAGAUCAGGCUGUCCCUGGAGAGCCAGAUUUGAUAGGCGAUGUAUCCCAUCCUAACCCCAGGCACAGGUAAACCUCUCGUAGUACUCUGUUGGAUCGCAUCCAGAAAAAAAUCCUGCCAAGGGCCAUUGCUCGCCUCCCACGACUGACCACCCAUCCUCCAUAUCAUUCUCGCUCUCAAGCAUCACAGGAGGGCAUGCUCUAUGGACUCAUCCUCUAGCCUAUAGACUUGACAGGACACCGCAAGCUCCAUAUCCCUCCCUAAGUAAGGUGCAUGUCGGAAGUCGGUCCCGGACAAUCUUUCAGAGAAAGAGCCUCAUCCUGAAAUGAGCAGCCACCUUCUAAAUCCAAGCUGCAUCAAUCCUGGUACUCGUUGCUGGCGUACAUAGCUUAGACAGAUCUCUCGUGGGGGCUCUUGGGCAGCAAGAAUGGCCCCACACUCUCAUAUCAUGGCUAUGAUGGAUAGGAAUCAAGAUGGUGAGGAUCUGAUCCACAAGUGGGCCAUCGAACAGACGGUUGAUGUCCUGAGCCCUCCAAGCCUAUCGUUGGCAGUGAUCAGAUCACAAACAUGAAGCUGGUCAUCCAUUUUCGUGCGGAUGAAGGUUGGCCAUC